rnacentral:lncRNA from 1 species
AAAAAAAGGAGUGAAACUGAUAUAUUUUUAAAGAUUCUGAAAAAAAUGAGAAUGUUCACAAGGAAUGUCACUACAACCCCUUAAAAUUUCAGGUCCAAAGUUGAAAUGUACAUUGAGAAACAAAAAAGGGAAAUCCAUUGUAAACAUUCAUUGGUGAAAGUGGAGGCAGCAGGGAUAAUAUAUAGUUGCUUACAUGUUUGUGCAUGCGACCCUAGUUUGCUAUAAAGAUUGAUCGAUGUUGCCGUGUGGCUGUACGGUCUUUGCAUCGAAAUGAUUGAUGAUGUCAUGAUAUGGUAAUCAUAAAGCAGAUGUUCCUUUUUUUGGUUUAACCUUCUUUCAGGUCUACUCAGAAUCUUUUCCAAAAAUAAAGGUCACUUUAUAGUCACAAGCAAGGUUUUGGUUGCUGUAAACAGAAAAUUACCCGGCGGGGAAGAGGGGGGGGCGCAGUUACCAUGGUUCAAAAAUAUGGAUUGAAACUUCCAAGCGAAAUUUGAAUUCAAAUAUCUGAGCCAGUCAAAUAGCUGCAGAACCAGUAAUACACAUAAUAAACUUGCUUAGGGCACAAUGUUUUUUUCCACUCAGAAAUAUGUCGGCGUCUACAGUUCGAGCCCCACUUAAACACUUUUUUUGAAAUAUACAGCGGAAUUAGGCUAAAAGUGUUAGCAGCAAGCCAUGGCCGUGAUGUGUGUGUCGCGAGGGUGUGUGCGUGUGUGCGCUCGGGGCGCGCCGGGUCUGGCCGUGGCAGUCUCGGGUGCGUGUGUGCGUGCCCGUAGGUGUGCGUGCGUGUGUAGCACGAGGAUGUGUGUGUGUCUGUUAUAGAUCGGGUCCAGGGUGAGCGUGGCGAUCGGGAGGGCUCGGCGCGUCGCGUGCGUUGCGGGCGCGCGCGGAGGACGCGGCCAGAGCGAGCUGGGUCGUGGGCGCGAGCAGGCAGGGGCGUGGAGAACGUGUCCAUAGUGUGCCUGGGUAUAAAACUCGUGUGUUGGUCAUUGUAACAGUGCGGAGUCGAGUUCGAGCUCGCUGGAAAUACACAGGAGCUGUCCAUGAGACAAGGUGUUCGAGCGCCAGGAAAUCUUGUGUGUUGCCUCCCUCUCGCUUAUUUCUUGUCUCCGGUGAUCGUCGUGCUCCGGUGGUUCCAUUUCUGCAACAACAAAAAGUAAUAUUCAAGCCAGUCAAAUAGCUGCAGAACUAGUAAUACACAUAAUAAACUUGCUUAGGGCACAAUGUUUUUUUCCACUCAGAAAUGAUGUCGGCGUCUAGAGUUCGAGCCCCACUUAAACACAUUUUUUUAAAUAUACAGCGGAAUUAGGCUGAAAAUAGAGCAGAGAAGGUAUUCGAACCCGCAACACAAUGAAAUGAUGGCUCAGCACCCCCGUGUGCAGCAGAACCACUAGGACAUUGUUUACAUGUGUUCAGGGUAAAAUUCUGCUCUAUUUGAUUAUUAUUUUUGAAAAACAGGAUGACCCCCGGUCUCUGCUCUAUUUGAUUUUUGAAAAGGCGAAUUUCUGCUCUAUUUGAUAACAUAUUAACCAUUCAAAUUCAAAAAAAAUUGCUCGAAUGGGUCAUUUAAUUACCUGGGGCAACGAAAUUCACGAUAACCACUAUUGUGAAAUUUCCCAGGGGACAAGGAAUCGGGUCAUUAAGACGGUGUAUCAAAAAGAAAGAAAAAAUAAACAGGGCACGGAUGAGACAUUUUCGCCAUUGUAGAUGUGAUAAGCAGUAGUGAACUAGUGAUCACUAUUAGUUAGCUAGUCCUCCAUCCCAUAUACAUGACUCUCAGUCAGCUAUUGGAAAUUAAAGGUGGAUAUGAUAGGUGCUAUGGUGUUUGUUGAUGACCGCCUGAUAUGGUUCCGGCACAUUGACCGCAUGGUUGAUAUACAAAACUAUGGGAUAAUCACUGGCUCUCAGUAGCCCCCCAGCCACGAGGCAUGCACCAACGCUAGCUAGGUCGGUAGUAGAUCCAAAAAGUCUAGUGGUUAGAGCAUAACAUAUGGACAGGAGAACAAAUAUGUGCCAUCUUUGUUGGGUGUUGCCCAUCUCUUGGUGGAUCGAAUUUCAGGGAGGAAUAAAUUAAGUUUCGUGUAGUGGGUGUAGAAGCUAGCUAUGUCAUGUCAUGUGGUAUCUGAAUUUGUGGAGUACUAAAGGCUCGAUCAAGUGGUCAUAGCAUGAGCUGCACUGCGUGUAGGAACUAGGAGCGAAAGAUAUUGCUUUCUUUCGUGGAGCGAAAAUUCCCCGCAUCAACCUUUUCAUUGUCAAACGAUGUUUCAUCUCUUUCCUUUUAACCAUACAUUGACCUUUCGAUUAAAAUAGAAAAUUGCCCCUUCUAAUUGCAUUUGGUUUAGAUGUGACGCUUGUUGAAAAAAACCACUGGUACCAGUGUUGGGUGAUGAAUUUGCUUUGCGAAAGGCCAUUCACCUGCAACCGCUUAAUUUCAAAUGCCAUGUAUGGUCAAAUGACGUAAAUUCCAUGCAAACACGUUCGCAAGUCUCUCUAGAAAAAGUUAUGCCUGAUGAAAAUAAGUAAAUGAUGAUAGGUACUUAAUUGUACUACCUAUGUUCGUAAAUGGAUGACUUUCUCAAAAGCGUGCAGCUUAACUAUUCAAUAUUUUACUAACGAUGUAUAAAAAUAUUUUGGAUUAGUAAGUGGAGUAAAAACUGUAAAAUUGGAUUGGUCAUGGAAAAUAUUUUUGUAGUAUUUUCUUUUUUUUUUUUGAAAAGAGAGGGGUCGCCCCAGCCCCAACUUUUAUUAAGCCAAGACAACGGCAGAGACCAGACUGUUGAACAGCUCUCUGCGACAACCAAAAGUAGCUGCCAAAGAACAAACAUACAUCAGGGUUUUUAGGCUACUACCCUAUUACAUCCCAUAAGAGAGUCAUACUCAUGCAGACCACAACGCAGACGAUAAGUCACUCAAGACAUACACUAAACCCAAGCAAUUCUAAGCAGUUCCCCUCUUCGACGCUCCAAAAGCCUUAAGCACCGGAGAAGUAGAGCACCCUGGGCCUCUGAAGAUAAGAUUUUCCAUUGCUUGAUUGUUGCCGCCACCUGUCCCAGCACACAACGUAUAUCUCGCCAUCUUCCCCCUUGAAAGACAAAGUCAUUGUGUAACCGCCAUAAGCACCACAAGGUAGCAGAAGUAACCAUAUUCACAGCUUCACAUUGUUUUUUCCUCUUCCAAAAAGAAGUCAAGGAUAAAAAUGAAACAGGAGGGGGAAUGCUAAGUGCUUCGGCAACCACAGACCAGACAUUAGAUGCAACAAUGCAGUCAAAGAGAAGAUGUUGGAUAGAUUCCAACUCAGCACAGAAAACACAAGUUUUAUCCUCGACAUUUCUUCUUUUGGCCAAAUUGUCUCUAGUAAGGCUUUUAUUAUUGUACAUCAGCCAUAAAAAGACAUGGAUAUUUGGAGGGACAUUGAUUUUCCAAAUAAAAUCUCUGAUCUCAGAAGACCCCCCCCCCAAAGUUGAUCAGUUUAUAGAAUGACUUAACAGAGUAUUGACCAUUUGAUUCUAGGGCCCAGAUAGGGCUGUCUGGAUGAUCUGAAAGGGUAGUUUGUGAAACCAAGCUAACUAAACAUCCCCAUUUCUGCAGCAUGGCCUCAUCCACACAGCGCCUGAAAGUGAGACAUAAGUUCACACCAUCCCAUACCUGGGACAAUGUGGCAUCCUGUUGAUGACAGAUAUCAAAUAAUUCCCAAAAAGCAGUUUUUAGGGAGCACCCCCCAAUCCAGUUAUCAUGCCAGAAGGCAAUGUUAUCCCCAUUCCCAAGAUUCCAUUUCCAGAAAUUUUUCGCAGCAGCAAAAGCCCAAGAGAUGCUUUUCCAGAAGGGAGACCCAGAGGCAGGUUUAGCAUGGAAAAUAUUAGGUUUAUCAGUAGCAUAUUUGAAGCAAAGAAGUUUUUUCCAGUCCCCCUCCCUCCCAUCAUAGAACCUUUUCCCCCAAGAGGCCAGGAGAGCCAUGUUAAAUUCCCUGAGAUUAGGGACACCCAGGCCACCAAAUUCCUUCUUUUUAGCCACAAGGCCCCAGUUAGCUAAAUGGUAUUUGUGAACCUCACCCAUAUUGCCCCAGAAAAAAUGAGACAUUUGGGAGGUGAUCAUAUCAAUAGCCAUUUGGGAGCUAAAUGGUGUUUGUAGUAUUUUCUUUAUAAUGUUCAAAGAUGUGUUACCACUAGUGCAGAACCAGGCAAUAGCACCGGUUCGUCAGGCCCUUUAGUGUCGGUUCCAUAACCGGCACUAAAGUGUGGGCACUAAAGGCCCCCCUUUAGUACCGGUUCAGCACGAACCGGUGCUAAAGGGCAACCACGUGGCACGAGCCAGCUCCGGGGGCCGGGAGCCCUUUAGUACCGGUUGGUAACACCAACCGGUACUAAAAUGUUUGGGGGGUUUUUGGUUUUAUGAUUUCUUUUUCAUUUAAUUUUGUGUUUUCCAUUUUAAUUCUUUUUCGUUUGCUGGUAUUUUACGAUACUACACAUUGUACAUGUUAUGCAUAUAUACUACACAUCCCGCUAUUUCCUCUUGAAGUGCUUCUACGCGCUCCGUUUUUAGGAGCUUGUCCCGCACCUCUGUGAACUGUUAAGAAGGAGAUCAAUAUGCAUGUGUAUUAGUUGUGUGACUAGAUAUCGAUAAUGGUGUAAAAAUUGUGAAUAGUGUUCUGACAAGCGUAUCCAUUCCUGUCUUUGAGAUCUGCUUCUUUCGGACGCCAUCAUGCGAAUGUUCUCGCAAACGCAGAAUGCACACAGAUUAGUCCCCUGCGCCUGCUUCAGGGCCUUUAUUACGAGAAUGGAAUUUAAUUUGAUCAGAUAAUAAUUAAUCAAGCAUGAUAAUUAAAGAGAUGGCAGCUAGCUAGCUAGCUAGUACUACUUAAUUACUUACCUUGGGUCGAAACCAUUCACUACUAGAAAUACCACUACUAAUGGUGCACCUAAUAUGGCCAUUAAUGGCGCAUCACUGGUGCGCCAUUGAUAGCACGCCAUUAGUAAUUUUUACUAAUGGCGCACCACCUGGUGCGCCAUUAGUAUCUGGUAUACUAAUGGCGCACCACCUGGUGCGCCAUUAGUAGAUGCGAGGGUGCGCCAUUAGUAUGCCUCCCAGGGGGCAUGUAUACCCAGGUGCUUUGGCAUACUAAUGGCGCACCACCUCUGGAUGCGCCAUUAGUAACCGCAGCAUACUAAUGGCGCACUACCCGGUGAUGCGCCAUUAGUAUGCACUGUCAUACUAAUGGCGCACUGUCGUGUGAUGCGCCAUUAGUAUGAAUAUUAGGGUUUUUUUAUUUUUUUUAUUUUCUGUUUUUUGCACAGGUUACAAAAUGUAUAAUUUGACAAAAUAUAGACAUCACACAUCAACAAUAGAUUCAUCAAAUACAAUAGAAGAUUAGUCUUUGAAUACAAUUCAUCAUAUUAGUCUCCGAAUACAAUUCAUCAUAUUAGUCUCUGAAUUAAAAAGACCGAACAAAGAUAGAACAUUAUAUUACAAGUCUCGAGACCGCGAGUAGCGAGUUUGUCUUCGCAUUACAAGUCGAUAUCGAUCAUCUAAACUACCAUCACAUAGAAGAGAGCUGUGGUCAUCACGAUGAGCAUCAUCACGAUGAAACUCGUCUUCAUCCGGUUCCUCCAACGCUCCCUCCCCUCUCCCGAUAUCGAUCAUCUAAACUACCAUCAUCUAGAUUCGGCCUCGGCCCUAGUGGUGUACCCUUUGUAACUGUUACCGCUGAAUCGGUGAACCUGUCUCCGACACUCCUCCCAGUCAUCGUAGACUCCGGGAACCUUACCCUUGUACACGACAUACGUCGGCAUCGCUAUGCACUAGCCAAACGAAACGUUAGUACCAAUUCACAGACAAUACAUAAGCAAUAUAUAAUUAUGCAACAGAACGAUCGGAAGAGAAAAGCAAGACAUUAAUAGCAUCGAUUAUAUCUAAGUUGAACGACUCUCGAAACCAAAGAGACAUACUACAAGUUCAUUAAAGUUUAAUUACAACAUGAGCCAAUCGAUGUUUCAGAACUAGACAACUCGACUCAAGGGACCGCAGCGUGGAUGAAGCCGCCGUCUAUCGUGGGAGUCAUGAAAGAACGGGCGUUGUCAUCCUGCAUUUGUAGCAUUGUGUCGAUGUCACUGUUGGACGGUUGAUUUCUGAGGUAGAACUGCCCCGAGGUAUGAAGGACAUCUUGAUGGAUGAUUUCCGCAAACUCCGACUGGAUGCGAAAGAAUUCUUGUCGGAGGUCCGCGUCCUGGAUUGCCGACACACUCGCGGCCCAAUCUUGGAGUUUACUCGGUAGCAGAAGUUGAUGAUGGUCCCGUACGAUCGCCCGCAUGUGAUGGAUGGCCUAGUAGGCACCCUUCUGACCGCCAGGCGGCUGCUUGACGCAGCAGAACGUCGUAUUGUGGGAGAACACGUGCUUGCCGUACUUACGAAUAGGCCUGGUGAAGGUGCCUCCAGAUUGGGCGUAGCCGGGGAGAACAUCAUCAAGAACCUUCUUGUCAUUUGUGUAGUCUACGUUCGACUGACGGUCCGGGUCGAAAUACGUGGCCAUGGAAUAUUUGGGGCUUAGGAGGAUGAGCGUGCAACAUGUGUCACUGCAGAAAACACGGAAUGUUAAAAGAAAAACGAUCGAAAAGUAAGAAUUCAUAUGUUACGGGCCGGUUGAGGGGAGGACUUACUCGGGAAAGUAAGGCACGAGGAAGUUAUCCUUAUCUUGGUUUGCCAGAAUGACGCCUUCGAGGUAAGAACUCGCGACUUGCCGGUCCCCAGCGCUGCCCAAGAUCUUGGCACGCAUGUAGAAGGGGUCGACUAUCACGAUGUCCGGGGUCUUGUCGCGAAUGAUCCGCAUCUCCAUACUCAGCGAAAAUAGCCGAACGAAGGUGUAGUGCAGCGGAUGAAGGUUAAACAUAGCAAAGAUGUCAUCAAACCACAGGACGAUCGUACCCCCGAUGUCGCCAUCCACAAAGCCCUUGCCCUCUGGCACCUUGGCCACGAAAACCGGGUAUGCCACAUCCUUCUCUCUGAGACGCCGCUUCUCCAAAGAAAGAACACUGUCGUGCAGACUCCGCAUAGCACCGGUUGCAGCAUUGAGCAUAUUUGGUGGUAGCAUCGCCCUACCCGCCACAUGCACCCUCCUCGAGAUAUCCUGCGGUGAAGGUGGCCCGUCCUGAGCAUGGAUCGUACUCGGUGCCGGCUGGCUCGCACCCUUCUUAGUCUUUCUUUUGCGUGCCUUCUUCUUCUCCUGUAAUGGGACCGAGUUAUGCUCACAGACCGCCUUCUUGAGUGUGUUGGGGCUGAUAAUAUUUCGCACCUCGCCUAUCUGAGGCUCGGUGAAGUCGGCAGCUGGAGGCGUCUCCUGAGAGCUGAACGCCAGACGGCGCCUGUUGCAACUUGGCUUCUCCGCGGUACGAGCUAGAUCGCACACGUCUUUUGUUGGGUUUGGUUCUUGAGAAGGAGGCCCCAUGAAGUCGCCAUCGUACCCAUGCUCGGCAAAGUACUGAUCGACGUUGCCAAAUGUAUCAUCGUCGUCGUCGUCGUCGUUCUGAUCCUGUGCCAUAUGCAUGUUUGGAUCCAGUGGCAUAGGGAUGUCCGGCACCGUUACGGCGGUCUUGCCAUGGGGCCGACUUGGCGCCGGCACAACUGGCGGUGUUGUCUUUGGGGUGGUGUCCCCCGCCCCCAAACGAAUCUGGCUCUUCGGCCAAAGCAGGGGCCAGCUCAGGCAGGCGCUGAGGGUCAUCACGUCAUCAUCGUCGGCCCCGACGGGUCGAAUCGGAGGUAACAAGUCGUCGCAGCCUGGCAGCACCCGAACCAGUUGAACCCUAAACAAGUUGGGUGGCAUCUGGGUACCGUGGAACAAGGGGUUGCCCGGUUGAACGAUUUUGCCCUUGGCGACAUCGACCAACUCGUUGUUCACGAAGUGGAGGAGAGUGCACGGAACGUCGGCGGCGCCCUGCGAAAACAUGUAGGGCGUCAGGGAUGCCCAGUCAAAGGCAAGGAGAUGAAGUCCUCGGCCGAGAGAGGCUUAAUUAGUUACCGUGAUGAUGGCGUCGAGCUCGGCUAAUGUCGAGGCACCGCCAACGGCGGGCGUGCAGUUGACGGAGUGGCCGCUUGCUGAAGAGGUGCCGGCCGACGUACACCCGGGUGCAUUAAGCUCCCGUGCCGGCGUCGGAGACACCAAUGCCGCCUUCGCCGGAGGCACCAAUGGCCCCGCCAUCGCAUUAUGCGAGUUGCUGGCCGUGAAGCUCGGAAUCGGGGGCGGCCCCUGUUGGCCGCCCGCAAUCCACGCACUCAACCCCGAGAUCAAGGUAGGCACAAGGGCGGUGAUCGUCGCUCCGAGUCGUUGUUCCACUUGCUCUUGGACAAUCUCCGGAAUCCGCGCCACCUGUGCCUUGAGUUCUUGAACCUCUCGCGCCUGGCUUUCCGAGCUGGUCUUUUUCUCCUUUCGCACACCAGCGGUAUAGUAUGACCCCCAUUUUGUCGACAAGCCUUUGCCGGCCACGACCAGCUGACGUCGGCUUACUGAGCUUAUCCUUGUUCUUCAUUAUAUUCAACCCCCUAUUUAGAGUGGUGUCCCAAGGGUUGCUCUGAGUCGACCCCGCGCUACUGCUUUCAGUCGCCUGCGGAAGGAAUGUGAACCAUUUAGAAAUUCGGCUUCAUUAAUUAGAAUGCAACCAUAUGGAGCUAAUUACGCGGGGGUGUAUUCCUUACCAGAACAAGCUCAAGCCGCCUGGUCUUCGGAUCCGUGGUAAGCUCCUUUGUUUUCGGGUCCUUCUUGUACCGGGCCCUGACAAAGUUCCUGGUCUGCUUGUCACUGUAUUUAUCGAAGAGGGGUGGUAGGCCUUGCUCGGCACGGUCCGCCUCCUCCUUGUCCCAUAUAGGCUCCGCCACUCUGUAACCGCCGGGACCGAGUUUGUGUUCCCCUAUGUUCAGCUCCCGCAUUUGUUUCCCCCACUCACUUGAUUGGGAGCUUGCGGUGCUCGAGCAAUUGAUCUUGAAGUCGUUGUAGUCAUCUUCGGUGAUCGAAGGAUUUUUCUCCUUGAUCUUCUCAUAACUCUCACCUUUCUCGAUCAUUCUCUUCACAUUGCUUUUCCAAGUAGACAGGGCCUUGCUCAUCUUCGUGAGGGCAGCAUUGUUCACUUUAUUCCCUUUGAGGCUUGUGUUUUCGAAUUCAGCGGGGAACUUGUAUCGUUCGUGCAGCUUCGUGAAGAGGAGGUGGCGCAAAUUCCCCCGGUCAGGAUGCCUCAGGUUCUCGGUGUUGAUCGAGACGGUGCUCCGGACAAUGCACCCGAGCUGAAGCGAGUACCCCUUGACUAUUCGUUCGGGCGCCGUUGGAUUCCCGUUGGAGUCCACUUCAGUAACUUCCUCCUUGAGGGUGCGGAGCACGAUCGGGCGCCGGUCCUUCCGUUGCCUCUUCGGCUGGCUGCUAUCUGUGCGUGCGCCGCCAUCAUCAGUGGUGGCAUCCUCGGCGGCACCAUCAGUGGUGGCAUCAGUGUGGUCAUCCUCGGCGGCACCAUCCGUGGUCUCAGGAUCGGUGGGGAAGGCGGCGGCCUCAUACAAGUGAGGUUGUUCCUCCAUCUCCUGGGACAGCUCCCAGAAUGCCUUGCCGCCCGAACCCCCGGCCUCAUCGUUGUGGGCCAUGUUUCUCUCUAAAUAGAAACAAGGUUUGGUCAAAAAGUUGGUUAUUGUCAAGGAACAAGAUCAUGGUCUCAUCAUUUAGGGUUUGUCGACACCGAGGCAUCCUAAAAUCUAAGCUUUUAUCAUUGAGGGUUUUUCGACGCCAAGGCACCCUAAAAGCCUAACUUUUCAUCAUUUCGGUUUUUAUCGACACCGAGGCACCCUAAAAGCCAUGCAUUAGUCACAAGUACGCCGGGGCACUUGAUCCUACUUAAUUAACUACUAAGAUACCCCGGCCCAUGCAUUAGUCACAAGUACCCCAUAUGUCCUAUUUUUAGCAAAGUCAUGCUAAAAUUCACGGAAAAUUUCAGCAUGACCUUUGCUGAAAAUAGGACAUAUGGAGUACCCGAAUUUGCCGGAACGGAAGUUAAUCGACAUUCCGGCAAACUCAAGGGCCUCUCGGGGUACCUGCAAAAUCAUCACGACACGAUGGUCGGAGACAAAACCCAGCAAACUAGCAAAAUCAUCACAAAUUGUUUUCUGUUAAAGAUGAUCAUCAUCUUUACAAGUCUUUCUCGAUGUGAUCACAAGUAAUUCAGAGGCAUCACAAGUAAUUCAGAGCAUCACAAGGCAUUAGUAGUUCAGUACAUGAACAAGUUUUACAAACCCAUAUAAGAACAAGUGAAUUCUAGUCCCAUUGACACUCCUGGUUUUCUACAAACACCAAGUACUAGGGAACACAAAAGUUCUAAAAUUUGUGUGCCUAACUGAAUUAACUGAAUUUUCAGUAACCGAAUAAACUGAAUUUUCAAAACUGCAAGAAUACAAUCGAGAAAAAUCCAACAACACUAGAACUGAGCUGAUUGACAGUAGUUUUGUUCACUGUUAUGUUGGCCUAACUGGAUGUUGGCUAUCUUUUAUAGUGUCUCUGUUACAUGCCAGUUUGGUCAUUGCUAACUCUUGAUGUAACUGAUAUUUUGAUUCCUGAACCCCCGAUAUGCUGUUGUGGUUAAUCCUAAGAGAAGAUUUUGAACAAUGAGAAGUCCAUGGAUAUGUUGUGUUUCUGACUUCCGUUGAGGAUCAUGGAAAUUGGAUAUGUGAGUGGUCGGUGGAAGGUUAUGCCUACUGUACUGCUAGCUUAAAUAUAAUGCCUAUUUCAUCAAAAAGAAAAAUGUAAUGCCUAAGAUCCACUAUCCUGAACCAUCUUAGAACAAUUACUGCUGUCGAUAUUUUUUAGUUUCAAACUUCAAAAUGAUAGCUAUACUGUUCUGAAUUUUUAGGAUAUCAGCAGUUGUUCAAGAGAUUUUUCCAAAAAUUCAAGCAAUUGUACCAAAUUUUGAAAGAGAUUUUUCCAAUUUAUAUUUAAAUAGAAUUGGGGUAUAUACCUUGGAAUCCUCCUAAUGGAAACAACACUAACUGGCGUCUCUAUUUCAGCUGUGGCCCCGGGCAAGAAUUGUACCAAUUGUUUCCCUGUAAAUACAAGUAAAGAAGGUUCACUGUAAAUAACAGUAUGUGAUGAGCAUGUCAAAGGUUGCAUAGUGGAGUCCUCUCGAUAUAUACUAUUCACAACAAUGUGCGUGCUAGAACACCAUUACCGCACGGUUCAUGGCAAGCUGCUUACGUGAGUCUGAACCCCGUUCCCCUGAAUCUGUCGGGAUUUGUGGGGUUAAUGGAACCAAUGUUUGUCAUUAUAAGUUAUGAAAGGCUAUUAUUGUACCCAACUUGUUUAAUGCAGCAAUGUGCGAUGCUAGAACACCAUUAUCAUCAGUGGUGAGAUGUUAUUCUCUACCAGUUGGUAGAAGAUCGAACUCAUAGGCAGAAACGUUGAUGACCAAGAGAGCAAUAAGACGGAAUUGUUUCGAUCAAGCGGUGUAAAUACUGAUCAUGCACUCAAUCAAACCUACUCAGUUCAUCUUAAACUGGGAAAUAAAGAUAAUCUUUUCAUGCACCACAUUUUACAAUGAAGUCGUCAAAAACGCCUCUACAGAAUACAACUAAGUACAAAGGUUACUACUCACCUUGUCAGCUUUGAGCUUUGGGGACCAACUGGAAUAAGACCUGCAGAGAGCAAAAAGGUAUUAGAGUCAUCCGUAGCGAACCAGUGAUCAAAAUCCAAAUAGCACUUGUUCAGCUACUAACCUGAAAGUUGACUGCUGUAGUUUCUGACAUGUGUAUAGCUCCUCAGGAGGCCCAAUGUCUGCAAGUAAAUGGAAACAGUGAGCACGAAAAGAUAAGAUAAGAAAAUAAUCCAUGUACUCAUAUACUCUGCGAAGAGAUGUUGCAUGAAGUAUAACAUCUUGUAUCUGCUGUAUUGCUAGUUGCUACAAAUGAUCAAAAGAAGAUAAAGUAAAAUAGUAAACCAAUGAGAGCAACAAAGGCAAGCAGGACUACCACCAAUCUGAACAUUACAACUUAGAGCCUAGAUCUUGUCAAAUGCACACCAAAAUGCCCUUGUUAUUCACACAACAUGAAAUAGGGCAUGGACAAAUCAAACUUUAUGACAACAGAUUGCAUUCAACAAGUACUGUAGUGUAUGAAAAAAUGCAACAUAAGCAUAGAUCAUACACUAUGUAACUAGCAGCCACUCAGACAUAUCCAGUGUUUGUUUAUUGCAUGCCCUGAUGAAACAGAAAUGAAGUCCUAUCUGUUGGCAAGAACUAGACAAAGCAAACAAUCCUACCCCAGAUAUUCAAGCAUGUGCAACCUAUUCUACAUUCUCCGUUCCACACAAGCACAGAAAUGGGGGAAACAGCAAGGUGCUUGCAUACUCUGCGAAGAUAUGUUGUAUUUAGUAUAGCAUCUUACAUAUGAUGUAUUUCUACAAUUGAUCACAUUAAGAUAAAAUAAAGUAGUAAACCAAUGAGACCAAUAGUGGCAGUCAGGAUUGGUGCCAAUAUGAACAUUACAAUUUAGAGCCUAGGUCUUGUCAGAUGCACACCAAAAUACCCUAGUUACUAGCAUGGCAUGAAAUGGGAUAGUGACAGGCCAUAGUUUAUGACAGCAGAUUGCACUUCACAGGUUGGGUAGGGUGUCAAAAUUGCAACAUAAGCGGGUGGGGUUAGGGUUACCUCCUCGUAGAGAGGCAGGGGUCGAGGCGGCGUCGGGGCGGCGGGGCAGCGUCCGGGCGGCGGGGUCNNNNNNNNNNNGCGGCGAGGAGAGGGCGAGGGAGGGAGAGGGCGAGGGCGAGGGCGAGGGCAGCGGCGGCGGCGGCGGCGGUGGAUCGAGAGGGAGAGAACUGGCGAGGGGGAUCGGGCGAAGGAGGAUCGGGCGAAGGGGGGAUCGGGCGAAGGGGGGCCACAAUACUAAUGGCGCACCUCACCGUGGUGCGCCAUUAGCAUGUCCAUACUAAUGGCGCACCUCACCGUGGUGCGCCAUUAGUAUUUUUUUUUAUUUCAGCUCGAGCCAAAAGGUUAUGCAGUACCAAAACCUAUCUAUGUCAAGCCCACUCUACUAGCUCGACUGGUCAGCAGCCAGUUCUCACACCAGGAGGUCCUGGGUUUGACUCCCAGGCUCCACAAUUUUUUUUUAGCAUUUAAAAAGCUGUUUGAUACUUAUUUAUGUUUAAAUAUGUUCAAACUUGUUUAAAAAAUAACAGUAAUAUUUUUUUAUAAGACAGUAGCAUUUAAAAAGCUGUUUGAUACUAAUUUUUUUAUAAGACGGUGCGCGGGGUGCGCGGGGUCGGCGGCGGCGGUUGAGUAGGGGAAUCGAGGGUGCGGGGGGUCGGCGGCGGCGGCCGGUGGACUGGGGGGGUGCUCGGCGGCGAGGGGGGCCGGAUCUGGCGAGGUNNNNNNNNNNNNNNNNNNNNNNNNNNNNNNNNNNNNNNNNNNNNNNNNNNNNNNNNNNNNNNNNNNNNNNNNNNNNNNNNNNNNNNNNNNNNNNNNNNNNNNNNNNNNNNNNNNNNNNNNNNNNNNNNNNNNNNNNNNNNNNNNNNNNNNNNNNNNNNNNNNNNNNNNNNNNNNNNNNNNNNNNNNNNNNNNNNNNNNNNNNNNNNNNNNNNNNNNNNNNNNNNNNNNNNNNNNNNNNNNNNNNNNNNNNNNNNNNNNNNNNNNNNNNNNNNNNNNNNNNNNNNNNNNNNNNNNNNNNNNNNNNNNNNNNNNNNNNNNNNNNNNNNNNNNNNNNNNNNNNNNNNNNNNNNNNNNNNNNNNNNNNNNNNNNNNNNNNNNNNNNNNNNNNNNNNNNNNNNNNNCGGACGUCCUUUAGGUAGGGUGGUCCUGCUUCUUCUUGUGGUGUAUGCUGCUACUUCAUCAUCGUCGUCAUGUUCGAUCCUCGGGUCGCCGUACUUGUCGAAGUCUUGCUCAUUGGCUACUCCAUCCAUUCCGAUGAUCUUCCUUUUGCCUCUCCUCACGACAACACGACUGGGCUUUGGCGGGUCGGUAAUGAAGAAGCAUUGGUCCACUUGGGAAGCCAGUACCCAUGGCUCAUUUUUCGCGGUGACGUUUGCGCCCGCGGUCUUGGAUUUGGCUUCGGGUAUAACCAUGGUGGUGAAAUACCGGUCUUCUUUUAUGACGUUCUUGGCCCAUCUGACACGGAACAUCGGGACCUUCUCUCCAGCGUAGCUCAGCUCCCAGAUCUCCUCGAUCCUUCCGUAGUAUCUGUCCUUGUCGUUACCGGUGUAGGAUUCCAUCGUUACCCCGGAGUUCUAAUAACCAUCGCUCUUCAUGUCCUUGGUCUCGGUGUAGAAUGUGUAGCCGUUGAUAUCGUACGCCUCAUAGGUCAUCAGGUUGUGCUCGGCGCCCUGUGACAAGGCGAAUAUGAGUUGUUCUUCCGCGGAAGAAUCCUCAUGUAAAGGGUACGACAGAAGCUUAUGCUUGAACCAACGCGUGAAACAUGAGUUGUGCUCUUUGAGUGUAUCUCCGUCCGUCCUCUGUUGGCCUCGGUCAUUGUACGUCUUUUUAAUAAAGGUUUUGUGCUCUACCACCCAAGGAUCGACCACGUCUAUGUGUUGUAGCGCGACUAGGUUUGCUCUUUCAAAGUCGGCAAGUCGACCCUCGAAGUCGACAUGCAUUUCGCGGCGACCCUCACGGUGACCCCAUCCAGCGAGCCUGCCGAGGUGCCUGUUGACGGGCAGACCAACGGGGUUCUCGAUGCCUAGAUAAUUCGUGCAGUAGGAGAUGCACUCUUCGGUCAGAAAGCCCCUGGCUAUGCUUCCUUCUGGACGUGACAUGUUGCGAACGUAUCCUUUGAUGACACCAUUCAUCCUUUCGAACGGCAUCAUGCUGUGCAGGAACGUCGGCCCGAGUUGGAUGAUAUCCUCCACUAUAUGGACCAGCAGAUGCACCAUAACGUCGAAGAAUGCGGGCAGGAAGUACAUCUCAAGCUCGCAUAGUAUCACCACGAUCUCUUCUUGUAGCCUUCUGAGUUGCCUCACGCCAAUCGACUUCCGAGAGAUGACGUCGAAGAAGUUGCAUAGGCCAAAUAGCAUUUCACGGACGUGCGCGUCCAUGAUCCCACGGAUUGCAACUGGAAGUAUCUGCGUCAUCAGCACGUGACAGUCGUGAGACUUCAUCCCGCUGAACUUCUGCUUCGCUGGGUCUAGGUAUCUGCUUAUCUUCCCUGCGUAACCGUAAGGAAGUUUUACUCCUAGGAGGCAGGUGAAAAACUGCUCGAUCUCCUCCUGACUUAGAGUGAAGCACGCGGGAGGGUAGUCAUUUCCGGUCUUCUUGGCCUUUUUGCCUUUGCGACGACUUUCUGUGUCCUGCUUCGCCUCAUCAUCAUCAUCAUCAUCAUCAUCAUCAUCAUCAUCAUCAUCAUCAUCAUAUAUAGCGUGAAGCUCCUGCCUGAUGCCCAUUGAUUUCAAGUCUGCCCUUUCUUUCGGCCCAUCUUUGGUCCUCUCUGGCAUGUUGAGCAGGGUACCAAGCAGACUCUCGCACACGUUCUUCGUGAUAUGCAUGACAUCAAGGCUGUGAGGCACACGGUGGAUCUUCCAGUACGGCAAGUCCCAGAAAACAGACCUCGUUUUCCAUACCUUCAGCAGCGGCUCUGGUGCCUUUCGCUUCUUUCCCGGCUCUGGCGCCUUUUGCUUCUUUCCCGGCAGUGGGCAGUCUUUCCAAUUUUUCAACAGCUUGUCUAUUUCCUCGCCGCUCCUCGUACACGGGCGUUUUCGGGGUUCGGUUUCACCAUCGAACAGAUCCUUGCGUUUCCUCCACGGGUCAUCGUCACGAAGCCACCUUCGAUGUCCCAUGAACACGGUUUUCGAAGACCCGGGAUCUCUAUCUAGCUGGCGAUACGUUGUGUCAUCCAUGCACCUUACGCAUCCAGAAAAUCCGUGGACUACCUGCCCCGCAAGAUAUCCGUAACCGAGAUAGUCGUGCACUGUCGUGAGCAGUACGGCUCUCAUAGGGAAAUAUUCUUUCUCUGCGGCGUCCCACGUAUUGGCUGGCGUUUUCCACAGCGUGUCAAGCUCCUCUUUCAGCAGCCCCAGAUACAGAUUGAUGUCGUUCCCUGGUUGUUUCGGCCCUUCAAUUAGCAUACUCAUGUGAAUUUACUUCCUCUUCAUGCACAACCAGGGGGGAAGGUUGUACAUCCACACAAACACAGGCCAGGUGCUAUGUGUGCUUCUCUGGCUACCAAACGGAUUGACUCCGUCGGUGCUCGCGCCCAGCACGAUGUUCCUUGGAUCGUUCCCAAAUUCUGGGUAUUCGAAGUUUAAUGCUUGCCACUGGCUCGCAUCCUUAGGGUGACUCAGCAUCUUGUCUUUUUUAUCUAUCUCCGGAUCAUUUGCGUCAUCUUCUCGCUUCUUCUCCUCCCUAUCCGCGUGCCAACGCAGGAGCUUUGCUACCUUAGGAUCCGCGAAAUACCGCUGCAGACGAGGAGUGAUCGGAAAGUACCACACCACUUUUCGAGGAGCUUUCUUCCUCUUCUUGUAUCGAGUGACACCGCACACCGGACAUAUUGUAGACUCCGCGUGCUCGUCCCGAUAAAUGAUGCAAUUGUUCAUGCACACAUGGUAUUUCACGUGCGAUAAAUCCAGAGGACACACGAUUUUCUUCGCCUCCUCCAAACUGGUCGGGCACUUGUUCCCCUUGGGAAGACGUUCGUGCCAGAAUGACAUGUUCUCGUCGAAGCAUGCGUCGGUCAUUUUGUGUUUUACCUUCAUCUCCAGGGCCAUGAGCGUUACUUUCAGGCGGGUAUCCUCGGGCCUGCAUCCUUCAUACAAUGGAGUAACCGCGUCUAACUCAAGUUGAUCCAUCUUGGCUUUCUCUCGGGCGGCAGCUCUUGCGUUAUCCGUUUGCUUGAGAAGCAGCUCUUGAAUAUGAGGGUCCUGCACCCAGCCCAUCGAUGGUCCAGCGUCGUCUGCUCUGCCGGCAUCAUCAUCUUCAUGAUCAUGCCCGUCGCCUGCUCCGGCAUCUUCCUCAUCAUCAUGUCCUGCAUCUUCUACAUGAUGACUGUGUACAGCAUCACAGUCGUGAUCAUCUCCUGGGGAUUCUUCGUCUUCUCGCCCGCCCGAGCCGCGGUGGUUGUCUUGCUGCCCUUCCUCAUUUCUUGCCCGGCCCGCAUGGACGACUUCGUAGUCAUCUUCAUCACCUUGCCACCGAUAGCCAUCCAUGAAACCACGCAACAGCAGGUGGUCCCGCACCUGCCCGGAAUCCGGGUCCGCAAUAAGGCUCUUCAGCUUGCAUCUUCGACACGGACAUCUUAUCUCCGUCUCGUUCUUUUGAAGCAUCUCGGCCUUCGCGGACCUCAAAAACCUAUUCACGAUGCCUUCGGUCAUCGUGCGGACCAUGGUCGCCUGCGGGGUAGAGCAAAACAAUAUUUUAGAACCAAACAAAAAUUUGGCAUGACUUUCCCUAAAAAUAGGACCAAAAAGAAUGCUUAAUGCCAAAAUUCUCGCCGAAACGGAAAUGAAUCAACAUUCCGGCAAAAUAUUGGCAACUAUCGCAUAUCAAAUACCGGUACACCUCCAAACACAAACACAUAUGCAACACCACAAACAUAUGCAACACCACGAACAUACAUAGAUCUAGCUAGGCCGUAAAAAGUGCAUGUGCACAUUGUUGUAAGGAGAACAACCUAAAUAUAGCUUCCCCCUUACUUACCUAUUAAAACAAGGUAAUUUAACCACUUAAUUUGAAUGAAUCUAUGGUGGAAAUGAGGUGAAAAAGAGGAGGCACCCGAGACAAGGAGGAGGUGGAGAGAAUGAAGUGGGGAGAAAGUGAGUGUGUGGGUAGGAGAGGCUGUCCCAAAUAUCUUGUUGCUGCCCAGUUACUAAUGGCGCACCUCUUGCAUGGUGCGCCAUUAGUAGUUACAACUACUAAUGACGCACUUAAGCAGGAUGCGCCAUUAGUAUGUUUGGAUAGACGCACUAGUUCAAAAAAAAAUUCUAUACUAAUGGCGCACCCACUUCCUGGUGCGCCAUUAGUAGUUACAACUACUAAUGGCGCACUUGGGCAGGAUGCGCCAUUAGUUUGUUUGGAUAGGCGCACUAGUUCAAAAAAAAAUUAUAUACUAAUGGCGCACCUGCUGCCUGGUGUGCCAUUAGUAGUUACAACUACUAAUGGCGCACUUUGCACGGAUGCGCCAUUAGUAUGUUUGGACAGGCGCACUAGUUAAAAAAAAUUUGAUACUAAUGGCGCACCCGUAGCAUGGUGCGCCAUUAGUAGUUUAAACUCUAAUGGCGCAUCAGAUUGUGGUGCGUCAUUAGUAUAUACUAAUGGCGCACCAUCUUUCUGGUGCGCCAUUAGUGUCAAUCCCAUCUAUAGCCCUUUUCCUAGUAGUGAUUUCAGCUGUCGUUUCCAUUCGCCUUCCGUGACGCUGAUGAAUCUUGCCCAAGCCCUGCCCGCCGACAAAGAAAAUGAAUAAAGGGGUUAUUAAAUAGUUCAUAUCAUGAAAUGACGAACUAAAUAUGCCGAGAUAUAUAGUUAAUAAUGAUUGAAAUUACCUGUUGACUAUCCCAAACAAGAUGUUAUAGUCACUAUUUGCUCUGAGUAGUGAGUCCAGUAUUUCAACUGUUCUGGCGUCAACUUUAAUGAUACACAAGAUCUAGUGAAAUCUGCAUGCACACAUGUUUGCAUGUUUUAAUUAAGCGGGCAUAUGUAAGCAAAAACAUGUAGUUAGCUAGUAGGCAAAAACAGAUAAUUUGUAGUACAAGAAAGUGUGACUCACUGAAAGUUGUAAGGAAGUAGUAUAUCUUCAUUGUAUUUGAGGCGCUUCAAGAACUCUAGUAUGUUGUCCUCUACCUGCUUUUCAUGAUGCUUGUUUAUUUUCCAUGUGUAUUCAUUAACGGUGUUUGGGUCAAUGAACCCAAUGCCAUAGCGUCCACCUUUUCUCAUUUCAUACAUCUUCAUCCUGCAUAAUACCACAGAAAAGAAUAUAGUGAGGAUAAUUACAGGUAAUGAUUGAUCAAAAGGAUCACUAAAGCUAGCUUGAGACUUAAAUUACAGAAAGAAAUCACUUACAGGCAAUAGCAACUGACGAUAGAUUUGUCGAGUGCGUCUUGAUUGUAUAACUGAAAUAGUUCAGAAUACUCAACGGUCACAGGUUUCUGAUGGUAGUAAUGAUCCUUCUUGACUUGCACCAUGAGGGACUCUCGAUCGGAUCUCUUGGUAAUGUCCAUGUACCAUUAAUGCAAUUCAUACAUUCUCGUUGGGAGCUUCUUGACCUCUUCUGGCUUGACCAAAGGUUGGCCCCGGGCAUAUUUCCGUUUUAUUUCCUCCUCUGUAAGCACAGGCAUGUCCUCGAUCUCGAGGAGUUGUCCAACAGUGAUGUUGAGUGUUUCAGCAUGCAUUAUAUGCUCCUGGGUUAUUACCACAUCGCCCACCUCGGGAAUGUAACCUGUUUGCCCACAAUAAUGUUGGGCGCGCGUACUAUCACGUGUUGUUGGCGGCACAACAAGUGGGGGGAUCGAUUGCGCCGCCUGUUUUCCCAGCUGGGCAACGGUUUUCCCGCAUUUUUUGACAACUGCUUGUUGUUUGCUCGAGCUCGAGCUCACCUCCUUCUGUAGACGUUGUCGAUGUAACUUCCUGAUGUGGCGCUCAUAGUCUGUGUCAACAGGCUUAGGAGCUGGUGGUUGAGCCAUACGAAUGAAGUGGUCAACUACUUCCACAGGCACUUUCUCCCUUGGCGGCGGUGGCGGUUUCGGUCCAAAAUGGGCGUCGACUUCUGCCCGCACUAUGGCAUUGGUUUGCUCCUCGGUCCUGUCGUAAGCCCUCUCAGGAAGAGGAGUAGUGAGGUUUGGACCAUAUUUAUAUCGCUUGCCUCCGCCUGACUCGUACCGCUAUGCACCAUAGCUGCGGGGUGUUUCUUCUGCGAUUGCUUAGGCGGCAGAGACGGCUGACGGGGCUGAGUUGGACGAGGAGGAGUGGCCUGAAGCUGUGCCGAACUUGGAGGAGGAGUGGCCUGAGGUUGUGCCGGACUUGGAGGAGGAGUGGACGUCUGACGCUGUGUCGGACUUGGAGGAGGAGUGGCCUGACACUUUGCCGGACUUGGAGGAGGAGGAGUGGCCUCACGCGUUGGUGGACUUGGAGGAGCGAGAGUCUGCUGACUCGGUGGCGGACUUCGACUCGGUGGCGGGAGUCUUCUGCCAUCUGCGCUUAGAUCAAACCAUAUGCUCCUUGCGUCAUCUACAAACUCCUUCCUGUACUUUCUUUCGAUUUUUCUCCACUGCGACCCGUCAGCGGGUACUCUCAACUUCCCGUCUUUCUUACGGUCUUCUAUGUGCCAUCGCAUCGCCUUGGCAUGCUCUUUGUUUUGGAACAAACGUUUCAACCGUGGUAUUAUAGGAGCAUACCACAUCACCUUGGCAGGAAUCUUCUUCCUGGGGCGCUCGCCCUCGACAUCACCAGGGUCAUCGCGACUGAUCUUAUAACGCAAUGCACCACAUAUCGGGCAAGCGUUCAAAUCCUCGUACUCACCGCGGUAGAGGAUGCAAUCAUUAGGGCAUGCAUGUAUCUUCUGCACCUCUAACCCUAGAGGGCAGACAGCCUUCUUUGCUUCGUACGUACUCUCGGGCAAUUCGUUGUCCUUUGGAAGCAUAUCCUUUAUCAUUACCAGCAACUUUCCAAAUCCCUUGUCAGAUACAUCAUUCUCUGCCUUCCAUUGCAGCAAUUCCAGUGUGGUGCCCAGCUUUUUCUUGUCACCUACGCAAUUCGGGUACAAUUAUUUUUUGUGAUCCUCUAACAUGCGCUGCAACUUCUUCUUCUCCAAAUCACUUGCGCAGUUUCUCUUUGCAUCGGCAAUGGCCCAACCUAGAUCAUCAACGGUCUCAUCUGAUGCCUCUUCUUCAGCUUCUUCCCGCAUUGCCGGCUCAGCUUCUUCCCGCAUUACGGGCUCAGCUUCUUCCCCCAUUGUUUUAUCAUCGUAUUCAGGGAACCCAUGGCCAGGAUAGCUGUCGUCGUCCUCUUCUUCUUCAUUGUCUUCCAUCAUAACCCCUCUUUCUCCGUGCUUGGUCCAAACAUUAUAGUGGGGCAUGAAACCGGACUUAAACAGGUGGACGUGAAUGGUUCUUGACGUAGAGUAAUUGUGAUCAUUCUUACAGCCAGCACAUGGACAAGACAUAAAACCAUCCGCCCGCUUGUUUGCCUCAGCCGCAAGCAGAAAAGUAUGCACACCCUCAACGAACUGGGGAGAGCAUCGGUCAUCGUACAUCCAUUGCCGGCUCAUCUUCAUUACACAACACCGAAUAGACAAAAUUAAUACAAGUUCAUACAUAAAGUUCAUACAACACUUAAAUGCAACAAACAAAUAACUCUCUAGCUAAAGAAUUUAAAUGCAACAACAAAUGCGAUGAAGAUCGCAACUAAGAUAACAAUGGAUCCAACAGCAUAAUGAUACCAAGCCUCACUAUUGAUGGCAUAUUUUCUAAUCUUUCUCAUCUUCAAGCGCAUUUUCUCCAUAUUGAUCUUGUGAUCAUCGACGACAUCGGCAACAUGCAAAUCCAAUUCCAUCUUCUCCCCCUCAAUUCUUUUCAAUUUUUCUUUCAAGUACUCGUUUUCUCUUUCAACUAAAUUUAACCUCUCGACAAUAGGGUCGGUUGGAAUUUCCGGUUCACAUACCUCCUAGAAAAAAUUUCUAUGUCAACUUGAUGGGCAUAAUUUGUCAUAAACACGAAAUGCAACUAGUUUUAAAAGAGAAUAUAUAUACCACAUCCGAAUCAUAACGAGGACGAGGGCCGACGGGGACGGAUAUCAAAACCAUGGCACUAUAUGUAUAACAAACAACGUACGGGUAAGAUAAUUAUACGAGUAACUAUAUAUCCAAAUCACACAAACAUCAAUUUUUAUAUAAAAUUUCAUGAACAAUAGGCUCACCACAAGGUGGUGCCGGCGACGGGACGGUGCGGGCGAUCGACGGUUGUUACGACGGAGAUUUAGAAGGCACUAAGUAAACCACACCUACAUAUGCAAACUAAGUGUUAUUUUUGACCUCAAAUUGCAUAUAAAUCAAAUAACAGCACAUAUAUAUAUAUAUCCUCCAAAUUACUAAACUCAAAAAUCAAUCACUAUAUAAAGCAUUGCACGAGCUAAUCUAGCAAUGAGAGAUGAAAGGACAAAGUUGCUAACCUUUGUGAUGAUUUGAAUGGAUGGGGGCCUUCAAAUCUUGACAAAUUUUGGGCAAAAUAUGUGAUGAGCUUGAGAGGAAGAGGGGAGGAACAGAGAGGAGAGGGGAAAGGGAAAGAACAGAGCGAGCUCGGGUCGACGAAGGGUCUAUGUAGGACGACCUUUAGUACCGGUUCGUGCCAAGAACCGGUACUAAAGGGGCUGGAGGGGCCCCAGUCUGACAACAUCCUGCCACCACUCUCAUUAGUACCGGUUCGUGGCACGAACCGGUGCUAAAGGUUCGCCACGAACCGGUACUAAUGAAAGCGGCCCGGCUAGCCAUUGGAACCGGCACUAAUGUAUACAUUAGUGCCGGCUCAAAUACAAACCGGCAGUAAUGUGCUUCACGUUUGACCCUUUUUCUACUAGUGUACACACACAAUGUCUAUGCCAUUUGCUUACUCACAGACGGAGUAAUUGCUACUAUGCACACAACCAAUAUAAAAGCUCGGAGGAAUUUCCAAUGGUAAAACGUUGAAGUGCAACUUGCCACAAUUAAGUAAAAGAUUCUGAUAAACCUUUAGAAAUUCAGGAGGACAACACAUAUGCCUUUGAGAAUUUUGCAAAUUUAAUUGGGGGCUAACUCGUCUCCAGCUUUUCUUUUUUGUCUACAUAUAGCCGAAGCCACAAAGCCAGUUGCACGCUAAGCUAGAAUAACCUAGCUUUGGUCCACCAAACCACACAUACGUGAACCACCGAAAUAAUCUUUGGAAGGAACAAGGGCCUUUUCAGUAGCAGCUAGCACCGGCGUGGUGGCUCUCCUUUCUGCCUCCCUUGCCUUUUUAUUUAUAUUGCCACUACUCUCAGAUAAAUGGACGAAUCAGGCUGUGAAGCUUUGUUUUUGUGUGUGAUAGGAAUCACGCUGUGAAGUUGACAGAGAAGUGGACACACAAGAAGAAAAGGUCGUGGUACCAUGAGUGACCAUGGACAUGCGAGAAAAAGAAGUGAACAUACCUAGAGAUAGGGUGAUGACUGAUGGUUAACCAUAUCUCGUUAUCUGUUUGCCGUUUGUGCAAUUAAAGGGGCCGGUGAAUCACAAGCGCCCAAGCUAAACAUAACAAAUGUGCAUGGACCUUGUGGUCUCUCACAAUCGUGACACCUAGAGGAGCCCGAAAGGCAACAUGAAAGUGACAACAUCCGGUUACGUUUAUAUUCUACCUGUAGACGAUAUUGGCAUACUAAUACAUUUAGUUUGGUCGGUAACAUUUCUAUUUCAGCAAAGUGAUCUGGAGAUAAAAUACAGAAAUUUAUUAGUGCUUAUUUGCUGAUGUGUAUGGCUAUUUUAUGAAAAUGGAAACCAACGGAUAUGACAACAGGUGUGCUAACCACUCUGUGCGUGAAAGAAAAAAUAGAAAGAACAAUGGAAGGAACACUCUUAAUUGGAUGUUCUUAUAUAUGAUCAAUAUUAUGUAUUGAAAUGGAGGAAGGACUGUAAGAGAAAUGUUUACCUGAACCACUGUAUUUGAUGUUGAUGACUAUCUAUCUCCGAAUGGUCCGAGCUGACAGUUGAGGGGUACCACAUCAUUACUCGGGAAAACAAAGGAGGGAGAGGAGUAUACCAUCAUCUUAUGAUGUGCAGUUUAAACAUUGGCCUUUACAUAAAUGGUCAUGUAUGAAUGGAAAUUUCAAACCUACACGUCUCUGAGCUAAGCUGUCCCAAUACCGAAGCAGGUGUACUGAAUUUUAGUCAUCAAAUCCUUUUUCUUCCUCCGUGCAAUUUAAACAAAUGGAAGGGGGAAAAUAAAUAUAAGUCAAUGCCCAUGUAGCGAUACAGCUAAGCUGGUUCCCCUUUUCAAAACAAGACUAAAUCUUAACCCAUUCCCGCAUAUUAAAACAGGCGCAUUGAAAUGUCAUGCCAACAGAUGUACCCCCUUCCUGAAAAUAUUGUUGUAAAUGAGGUUGACUUAGUCAUAGAUGUUGUAUUCAUCUUUUUUCUAGUGAUUUGCCUGUGAUUAUCUUUGUUUGGUACUCUACUUAAAUGAUGAUGAGGAAGGCAGAUUGCUGUGUUGAAAUGUCAUGCCAAGAGAUGCAUGUAUGGGUUGAUUGGGGAGUAAGUAACUUAGCUAGUCGCUGUUAACCCCUAUUCCCCAGCUCGAUUGGUGCCAAAAACUUGGCCAGGUCGACUCGGCUCUGCGGUUGGUUCGUACUCCAUGGUAUACGUCUACCUCAAAGGAACCGAAUUAAAUAAAGAGCUAAAUUCGAUGCACCGGAAUAUAGGUGUCAGAUGAGAUAAACUGUCACUACACCCCAGAGUUAGCGGUCUCACGUACAUAUAGGUGUCAGUUUGUUCUUGAGUCGUACUAUGCAGCUCUCCUUUCUUAUCCACGUAGUAUGCCACCCAACCUGUUCAAUAUGCACGUGAGUAUCGUCUUGCCUUAGGUUUCUCUACCAGCGUGUUUGGUUUGGGAAAUUAGAGAUGGGAAAUGAAAGUUGAGGGGUGAGGAGAUUAAAAAUACACUGUUUGAUUAGAGAGAAUUGAAGUUUAAGUGGGAAGGAGAAUGGGAGUUGAGGAAGCCAUUUCCCACCGAUUUCUUCCUAAAGGAUACCCUGUUAAUUCGUGAGCAGAGUUUUAUCCCACGUUAAUUCUCAUCAUAUACCAAACAAGGGAAUGAGAGUAAAAAUCUACUUCCCAUGUCUAAUCCCUUCAUAAACACCCUUGUGCAAAUUCCCAUUCCCCUGCCCGAGUGUUUACCAAACACGCUGUAUAUGUUAGUUACGCAUGGGAUUUUAGGCCUUAUAUACAUUAAUGCAAGGUGCUUACUUAAAUAAAUGAGUUUCUUACAUCCGUGUUGAUGGAGGCUUCGAUUCACGAUGGACCUAAGGUCACAAGGGUCAUGGGUGCGGGAUCCCACUAAGGGACGAUCCACGGAGGACAGUCACCCACGAAGAGUACACGAAGGAGCAAUCAACCUAUUCAUCCUGGCGUACGUCUAUGAAGUACUGGCCUCAUUAAGGUUGAUUUUCAUGAAGUAGGUGAUAUCUGAGCCUUUCGAAAUUUCUUGGUUUCUUCACAAACUUGAAGACCUCCAAGCAUUUAACAAACAUAUGAGGCACACACCCUUCAAAAGUAACAGGAUAGAGGUUGUUUGGUAAUGAAUCUCUUACUUGUGCCUCAAAAGAUAAUAUUCUCAACACCCAAACACUCUCAAUACAUAGCUUUUGGUUUGGAGAGGAAAGAGUGCAAAUCACGAGAGGAUUAGAUCUCAAUGGAUUGACUUGGAUGGUUGGAGUAGAAAGCCUUUCAGAAAAAUCAGCACUAGUAGGUGAAGUUUUUCCUCGGAACAUAUGAUGGGAGUGGACUUUGUUUCGAGUGAAUAAGUGAGAUAGGUGGGGGUAUAAAUAUGAUGGGCUAGAAAUUUGGCUGUUAAUUAUCAACUUCAUUACACAGAUUCAAGGCUCCGAAGUGAUCAGUUCAGAAGCAUGAACAUGAAUAAAGGAGGCAACUUUCAGACGGUUUGGAAGGUCCGACCAAAAAAUCAUUCGGGAGUCUCCGAGGGAACACUUUACUAGUGCCACACUCUCUGCGAUCGCUUCGAACUGCCCGGAUGGCUUUGGAAAUUCUAGCAUUUAAUCAAAAGGUUUGCCAGACACUUCGGUGGUUCCGAAUGAAAUGCUUGGCAGCUCCGAAUGGAAAAGGGGUUUUUGCAACGACUAUAUCUGGUGAACUGCUCCUCGAUCCCGGCUGGAAGAUCUCAGAAGCUCCGAAGUACGAAAGUGUAGGUACAUGAGGUGGAGGAACUUUGAAGAAUUUUGAGGGUUUUGGAGUUUGAUCUUUAAGCACAUCAAGAAAAAACGUAUCACAACAUCCUCAUCCCUUUUGAUAGUAUCGGUAUGGCUAUGACUUAGUGUGAUCUUUGAUCACUAAAAUGAAAAUGAAGAAUCAUCGGCUUGACAACCACCAUUCUUUAUGCAAUUUGUAGGGGCCACCUUCCCUUCAUUUGUUGCAUCCAUAGGAAACUUUCCUGAAAUAAAGUUGUAGGAGGCAUUAGUUCCAUGAGAUAUGUUGACAUUAAUUACCAAAAUCCAUCAAGGGGAUUAGAUGCACUUUCGGUCUCUCCCUUUUGGGGAAUUGAUGAGAACAAAGAUCGAAACUUCACUAAAAGAUAAAAACAUGAUAAAAAUCAUGCUUUGAGAAGCAUGCGAUAUACAAGACCAUGUACAAUAUAUAAUCUAGUCCAGAGGCCUAACUUCAUAUUUGUUUAGUGUUUAUUAUUCUACACAUGCCAUUAGGUUUUUCUCUGAAUCUAAUAUUGAAGAUACAAUUCUAGCAUAGAAGUAUAAAAUUAAUUAUGAACUUAAAAAUAAAAUAUUAAAAAAAUUAUUGCCUUUAAGGCAUAUUUCCGACACUUUGCACAGAUUGAUUCUUUCCUUUGAUAUAGCAAAAAUUGAGGGGGAUGAGGUCUCUUUCGGCUCAAAGCCAACUUGAGUGCCAAAAUGGGGCCAUUUUACCAUUGACAAUGGUGAUUGUGGUUAAGUUGUACAAAAGAUCCAUAUCCUUUCCGUCGCAUGGGAGCGCAAGCCCCGGUCACAGCCUCGCCAUUUCCUUCCACACAAUCAAAUGUUAAUGUCAAAGAAUCAUGAAGUAGAUGACAUUAUUACUUCUUGAUUCUGCCUGUAUUCCUAGUGGUUCUCCCCAUCUUUGUGACCCAUUUGAUGCAUGUUGACGGGAAUCUAUGACAUAUUUGGUUGCGAGGAAGGAUUUUGCAUGCAUUGUAUUUGUGUCUCGGUUCAGCCUGGAUAAGGAAAACAUGCAAAAAACAACAAGUGCAUGUUGUUUGGUUGCUUGCAUAUCCUCUAGCCUCCAUGGGGCGAAACAAAAGGUAGGCUAUUUUGUUGCCCGCUUUCUUAGGAGAAAACACAAGCCAUGGUGUUUUGUUACAUGCAAAGCAUGUUGUUUGGUAACCUCCUUGUGCAUGUGGUAAGGUUACCAGCACACUAGCCAGGUAGAACAAACCAAAUACACAGAAAUAGACAGUAUAUAAACAUAGUUUUAAACCAAACUAAGAAGUUUUCAACAUAGUACAACACUUAAACCAAGCAUUUUCAACCAAACCAGUACGACAUAGUCCAAAUCAAACCAACACACGCAACAUUGAGCUCUCCUAGACAUUCAAGGCGAAGGCAUCUUCGUGCUUCCCGCAUUUGAUCACCACUUCAAUGUCAUGAUCGUUGAAGACAGUCACCUUCAAGGUGUCAGGAGUAAGUGGUUUGAAGAUGACCAUGUACCUGAUCCUGAUUUGGUGGACGACAGUGAAGGGGCUCAACCCUGAUCAAGGGUGACCCUCUCGUUCAUCAGCCAGACCUUAACCCUCUAUGCACAACCGAUGUUCAUCUUCAGCUUGAACUCCUGAGGCACAGAAGGAAGUGCUUCCUGAAGUCCAAAGGCAUAGGCAGGCACUCCAGUUUCGGGGAAAGGAUCACCAUUCAGAAGUGAGUUGGCCCAGCCUCCUCAUGGUAGUGCUCGUAGUUCUGACGCUUGCCACUAGGAGGCUAGCUCCUCCAGCACCAUAUCCUUGGUCGUGGGAGGCACCUCCUCCAAGGGUGACACCACCUCCUUGCCCUUGUUCUCCGUCUCGAUCUGCAUUAUGAACAACACAAAGUUAAAAGAUUGAUCAGCAUUAAAUCCUAUCAUCUGACGCCCCUAUAUUUACCCACCCAAACGCUCUACUACUUACAUACCACCACACUCCAUUAACCCUCUUUGUUUCUCACUCCCACUCCUCUUCCACCUCUCUGUCGCCAUGAACCCCAUCGCUAAGUCCUUCCCCUGGGGCAUUGGAUGGAGGGCUUUCUUCCUUGGGUGCUCACUCGGUGAACGCACCAAGGUCAAGAACACAGUGGAAGUGUGCUCGAACUUCACUAGCAUUGGCGACAUGCACGAGGAGGUAGACACUACGGUAAAGAAGGCAACAACGAAGGACUUGAAGACACUGAUUCCUGACCCAGUGAAGGGCGCUAUAUCAGUGGACAUCAUGCGCUGGGCUAUGAAUCAAGCCGACUCUGGCGAUGCUGGUUAGAGGGCAAGAUGGGCCAAGGACUUCUACUUCUUGAGAUUGUGUUAGUUUUUCCCUUGAAGAGGAAAGGGUGAUGCAGCAAAGUAGAGUUAAGUAUUUACGUUAGUUUUGAGAACCAAGGUAUCAAUCCAGUAGGAGGUACACACAAGUCUCCAAUCUAUGCACCUGCACAAACAAUCAAACGCUUGCACCCGACGCAAUAAAGGGGUUGCCAAUCCUUUCACGAUCACUUGGAAGGAUGAGAUCUGAUAGACAUAGAUAUAAAAGAUUACUAAAACGUAAAACAGAGUAAAAAAAUAAAUUGCAGCAAGGUAUUUUUGGGUUUUUUGGUUUAUAGAUCUGAAAAUAUAUGAUGGAAAAUAGACCCGGGGGCCAUAGGUUUCACUAGAGGCUUCUCUCUAGACAGAAAACAUACGGUGGGUGAACAAAUUACUGUCGAGCAAUUGAUAGAAAAGUGCAAAAUUAUGACAAUAUCCAAGGCAAUGAUUAUGAAUAUAUGCAUCACAUCCGUGUCAAGUAGACCGAAACGAUUCUGCAUCUACUACUAUUAUUCCACACAUCGACCGAUAUCCAGCAUGCAUCUAGAGUAUUAAGCUCAUAUGAACGGAGUAACGCCUUAAGUAAGAUGACAUGAUGUAGAAGGAUAAACUCAAGCAAUAUGAUGAAAACCCCAUCUUUUUACCCUUGAUGGACACAAUACAAUAUGUGCCUCGCUACCCCUACUUUGUCACUGGGUGAGGACAUCGCAAGAUUGAACCCAAAACUAAGCACCUCUCUCAUUGCAAGAAGAACCAAUCUAGUUGGCCAAACCAAACCGAUAAUUCGAAAAGAAAUACAAAGAUAUAAAAUCAUCAGUACUAGGGAGAACCCUAGUAGUAGCGCGGGUUUAAUGCCUACUAGUAGCGUAGGACAUCGCGCUACUAGUAAGGUGCUACAGCUAUUCCUUAGCAGUAGCGCGUGCGACACACGCUACUGCUAAGACAUAUAGCUGCAGUGUUUGUUCACUCCCGCGCUACUGCUAAUAGAACUAGUAGUAGCGUGUUUACUCUCCAUCGCUACUAGUAUUUUUUCAUUUUUUUUCAUUUUUUAGUGUAUUUAUAUGUCGUUAUAUAAAUUAUGGUACAAUACCAAUUAUGAGGUUGUUAUAUCAUUAUGUCCAUAACAGUGUGUCAAAUGAAGGUGGAUUAGGUUCAAGUGGAGGCAACAUGUGGUGCAUGUCAAAAGUAUACUACUAAUCCAAAUUUGAUCUAGUUUGGACUAGUAGUACUUUUUAUGUGCACCACAUGUUGCCUCCACUUGAAUCUAAUCCGCCAACACAAGCUAUUUAAUCAUCAUCAUAGUCAUUAUCACCAACAGUAGCUAUUUAAUCAUCCUAGUCAUAGUGUAGCACAUCAUCAUCUUCAAACUCAUUCUAGCUAGUUAAUCACCACCAGCACUAGUUGUGGUAGCUAUCUAAUCACCACCAACACUACCUAAAAAUAAUCAUCAUAGUCAUUACCACCAACACUAGUUAUUUAAUUAUCAUAGUCAUAGUGUAGCACAUCAUCAUCUACUCAUUUCUAGCUAGCUAAUCACUCCUGCUGCUCUCUCUUAGGUAAAAUAGCAUCAAACAUGUGUAUCACUCAUGCUUCAUAAUGUUGGAGCAUGCAGAUGAACCUGUCUCCUAAUCGUGGGCUGCGCUUCUGAUUGCUGCCCCCUAGUACUUCUGUGCGAUCGUUCACAAUUUUGCUCCAGUCUUUCACUAUUAAGCAUUCCUCGCUUUUAGAAAUCCUGAAUGCACUAAAGUGCAUUGUAGGAUGUCUUGGCCGUAAGCUAACCAUUCUCAUGCGACCUUUAGUAUCGAUCCAAUGAGGCACAACAUUCAUCGAGAGUCCCUGUUGAAGAACAUCAUAUAGUAAUUAACAUACUUAGCAAUGAAGUUUAGCUUAAAAAUAAUGUAUGCAAAAGAUGCACUGAGGACAAAUAGUAAAAAUUUUACCAUCUUUCCUAAAUAGAUGUGACCGUAGUUCAAUACAAACACUAUCUGUCGCACGUUUUGAGUACUAAGAUUUUUAAGUCCAGGAAAAUAACUUAUCUUGAUAGUAUGAAGAUCCUCAAGCCAUGAAACAUAAUGACCUAUCUCCUCGAAGUUUUGUUCAGCCCCGGGACAGUUGGAUGGUCAUGUCUGCCAAGUGCCAGACAAGUUUGCUUGAAUGGAAAUAAGUUGUCAAAAGAAAUUAGUUGCCAACUAUUUUUGAAUAAAAAAUAUCAAAGACAUAAAUAUGGUUGAGAAACUUACAUAAUGGUAUAACUGGAGGCGUGUGCACAUCGAUCCAGAUGUCGAUAUUACCUUCAAUAUCAUCUCCCGGACGAAUAUCAAAGGUGAUAACCAUAUCAGGCUCAAAUGCAUAAGUCUUGCAUAGUGCUUGCCAAGUUUUGCAUUCAAAAUAGGUGUAGGUGUCUGCAUUGUAUAAUUUUGCGUGGAAACUAUAACCAUGCUCAGUCCUCAAGUAAGCACUCUUUACCUCCAUAGUAGUUUUCAUAGUACUGAAACCUAUCUUAUCCAAGACAAAAACUCUUGCAUGGCAGGGGAUACGCUAGUAGAAUAGUAAAAAAAUAAGUUGAAGCAGAUGUCAUGCUUAAUUAUGAAAAAAGACUUGUAGUUGUGACUUACUAUAUCCACUUCAAAGUUCCCGUCCAGCUUGAUGCUGAAGCGUCUAUCAUCAUCUAGGAAGAUUAUGUCGCACAGGCCGUGCUCGUCUUCGUAGUAUUCGCAAAUACCGAAAUCCUUUUUGUCGUCAGACAUUUCCUAUGUUUAUAGUUGAAACAUUAAUUGAAAAUAGAUCAAAGGCAACUACCAGGAUACUCAACACACAAAUCCGGGGCACUCGAUAUUUCCUGCAUAUUCUAGCACAAGUCAUGCCAAAAUUCACGAAAAAAAUCUGGCAUGAACUUUGCUAAAAUAGGACAUAUCGAGCACCUGAAAUUUGCCGGAACGGAAAUGAAUCAACACUCCGGAAAAACAUAGGCCACUCGGAGGAGUAAUCUGCAAACAUGACCGGCCACUUGGGCAUGCACAGAUCCUAUUUGAGCAACACAAGAUGUACAUUUCAAAAUAUCUUAUAGGACUCAUAUUGACAUGAGCAUUCAAUAAGGAAAACCAAAUCGUAAGAUAAAAAAGUAUUCAAAUUAGCAUGCAUUCAAUAAGCAAAAGUAAAUCAUCUCUUGUGUCCGUACAUCGUCAAAUAUUAUAACUAAUACAUCCCGAAUAGUAUCAUACAUAUAACAUCACUAUUACAACUAAAACCCUAGCGAAGGGCGGUGGACACCCAAAGAGAAGGAACCAUCACAUGAUCAUAGCUCCAGUGAGAUCCCUAGAGAAUCUCCCAGGUAUUGGAGAAUAUGUGCUCCAACACAACGAAGUAGCGACGGACGUGUGUGUCCUCCUCGCCGACACGGUGACGUACCACCUCCGCGGGGUCCUCAAGCCUCUGGACCGUCAGUGGCCCACGCGACCGCCACCAAAGAAGGUUCGGGUCAAUGACGGGCUGACUCCUCACCAAGCUGCGCCCCCCGGUAGGUGGCGCCUCCCAAUACCAGCCUGGCGGAGCCCAGUCCCGGACAUGGUCCAUCUGGUCAAGCAGGUGUCCUCUGCCGAGUCGACGAUGAGGAUGCGGGAUAGGCAUCGUCGACAUUGAUGCGGGAAUAAUUGCUUUAACUAAAAAAUAACAACAAAUGUGACAUGUUCAACUAGUUCUAUUAGUUCAACUAGUUCUUAUUAAAAAUAAACUUACUAUAAAUAAAAAUAAACUAGUACCUAGUUCUUACUAACUAAUUAGUACCAUGUCACAAGUUGAAUACUUCAUGUCACAUAGCUAUUGACUAAUACACUUAAGCAAUAUGUCACUAUUAAUCGUAUCCGUUCCGAAUCAAGAAAACAUCCUAGCUACAUCUGUAUCUGAUAACAUCCGUAUUCGCAUUCAUAUUCAUUUUGUAAAUAUGAAAACGGAAGUGGUAAGAGCACUAUCUGAUCCGCAUACGAUUCGUUUACACCCCUAGAUGAACCCUAACUAAUUUGAUACAAUUAAAAUUUGAAGAACCCUAGCCAGAGGUAGGGGAGGGGGAGGAGCAGGCGUGCCCACCUCGGGUGCCUGCGGCGAGGGAGGGGCAGGCGGCGUCGAGUUCGGGAUCAGGGUUCGGGCGCGCGGCGGAGGGCCGCGUCAAGGUCGGAGUCGGGGGCGGCGUCGAAUCUGGGGUUGGGGGCGGCGUCGAGGGUGUGCGGAGAGCAAUGGGAGAGCGCGCAGCGGCCGACGGGCGACAACGGCGGCGACGGCGGAGUAGUUGGGAUUUGGGGAAAGUGGCCGUGGGGAAGAACGAACCGCGUGGUUAACUCAAAAGUAGCAGUAGCGCGUUCCAGGAAGUGCGCUACUGCUAAGUUAGCUAUAGCGCGUUCCCGGAUAUGCCCUACUGCAAUUCCUUUCUCUUUUGCCCCUUUUUAUUUAUUUUUCUUUACAUUUUAUUUUUUUCCCUUUCUCCUUUUUCUAUUUAUUUUAUUUUCAUUUACUUUUCUAUUUGCUUUCCAUUUAAUUUUAUCUCCUUUAGCAGUAGCGCCUUUCUGCGUAAACACGCUGCUACAAAGGAAGUAGCGGUACCGCUGUUCGCAGUAGUUCGCUACUACUAUGUGUAGCCUAUCGGCUUAGCAAUGAGAAUUUUACUAGUAGUGCUUUUAUCUUCAGGAGCGCUACUGCUACAAUUGUAUCUGUAGCGCGGUUUACGUCUACGCGCUAUUGCUACUUAGCACUAGUGUCCUUUUUUAACACGCGCUACUGCUAAAGUUCUGUGUAUAAGGUUUUCCCUAGUAGUGCAUGCAUAUAAGAAUUCAAAUAAUAUUCAUAGAUAAUCUAAUAAUAAAUCCAUAAUUCAUCAAAUCUCGACAAACACACCGCAAAAGAAUAUUACAUCAGAUAAAAAUCAAAGAACAUCGAGAAGAACAUGGUAUUGAAGAUCAUAGAUAGAGAAGAAGCCAUCUAGCUACUAGCUAUGGACCCUUAGGUCCGUGGAAAACUACUCACACUUCAUCGGAUGGGCGAUAGAGUUGAUCUAUACACCCUCCGUGAUCUAAUCCCCCUCUGACACGGUGCCGGAUAAGGCCCCAAGAUGGGAUCUCACGGGAACAUGAGGUUACGACGGCGGAAAAGUAUUUUCGUGGAUGCUUCUGAUGUUGGGGAAUAUUUGGGUAUUUAUGAAGCAAAGAUUAGGGUUAGGAGGUCUACAGGGGGCCCACAAGUAUAGGGGCGCCCCCCGGGGCGUGCCCCUAGGGCUUGUGGACUCCCCAUAGGUCUUCUGGCCUCCUCUCCAAGCCUCCUAGGUGUCUUCUAGUCCAAGAAAAAUCAUCACAAAAGUUUUAUUCUGUUUGGACUCCGUUUGAUAUUCCUUUUUUGUAAAAUUAAAAAACAACAAAAAAACAGAAACUAGCAGUUGGCUCUAGGUUAAUAAGUUAGUCCCAAAAAUAAUAUAAAAUAGCGUAAUAAUGCAUAUAAAACAUUCAAAACAGAUAAUAUAAUAGCAUGGAACAAUAAAAAAUUAUAGAUACGUUGGAGACAUAUCAAGGACAGGGGUACAGCGUUCCUGCAGACCAGCAUGCCACAACGUUCUGGACUAAGACGUUGGUGGUGUCGGAUUUCAUUGCUCUAGAGCCGGAGGAGGAGGAAGACGCGAUGGAGGUGGUGGUCAAGGUGCCAGAGCCAUGAAACCGUAGUAUGCCAAUCGAUUUGACCGAUGGCGAGGAUGAUGUCGCAUGCUACAAUCGAGCCGGAGGACAAUUACAAGGCCAAGGGCCCCCUUCGCUCCAAUCACCUCCAUGAUCAUUGCACUUAGGCGUUAGCGCUAUUAUGUAAGAUUAACCCCGAAUCCCCAUUCCCCUUGUACUCAAUCCCGGUCGAAACCCUAAAAUCCAUCGCUACUUAGUACUCGUGAAUAAGUGUUGAUCAAUCCUAUAGAUAUUUACGCUGAUUUCCCAUUCACCUAGAACUCGGAUCAAAUAAGAGGACCAAACCUAAACACGAAUUGAAUACCAAAAUAGUAAGCAAGGAGGUGAAAUUAGGGCACACCACCAUGGCCAAAGUGCUGCAGGUGAUGUUGGUGAUGCCGGUGAUGGACACUGGCGGUCCCCUUGUUGUUACCUGAUCCAUUGAUCGUGGCUGCCAGUUUGAGAGUGGGGGAGGAGAGAGAGUGGUGAGGGAAGGUGAGGAAAUUAUGUUGGCGCUUUGGGAAACAACGCGACGUCUCAAGUGUGGCUCCUCGCGUGCAGCUGCCGCCUACGUGCUUUCCGCAUGCCUGGCUAUGAAAAAACUGCCGAUCCGGCGGUUCCCAGUGGGUCUAGAGCAAGGUGCUUUUAUGUUUCGUGCUAUGCAAGCCAAACAAUGAACACAUAUGCAAUCAAACGGGCCAUUUUCUUCCCACACGGGCCUGGUUGGGGUAUAUGUGGGCAACCAAACACGUCACUACAAUCCACGCUUGACAUUUAGAUUAGAUUCAUACUAUGCGUGUCAUCGAAUCACUUCGAAUCACUACUAAGAAAAGGCUAAUUAGUGGCGCACCUAUUUUGGCCAUUAAUUACGCACUACAGGCGCACCACAUAGAAGUGUGCUUUUUCAAAUUCUUUUUCAAUAUUUUUCUUAAUCUCGGGUCACUAUGGCUUAAUCUCGGGUCAAUAUGCUUGAUCUCAAGUCAAAUCACACUAAGUGGUCAAACUUCCCGAAAGGUCACCCAUCCUCACACUACUUCAGCCCGAGCAUGCUUAACUUCGCAGUUCUAUCCAACCCCAGCACCACCUCACUUAACAGGCACUUGUUGAUAUAUCUAUCAUAUCAAUCCUAUUAAACCUUGUUGAUGUUUAGGACUUUGUUCAUGUUCAUGAGUGUGAUGAAAUUUUGAAAAAUAUUUCAAACUUCCCGGUCAUAUUACGUAUCAUAUUUUGAAAAAAAAAUCGAACCAAUUUUUUUUCUAUUAUUAGUGGCUCACCUAGCAAAUGGUGCGCCGCUAGUAAGUUUGAUUUUUUUUCCAUUUUCCCCCCCUCUAGAUCUUAAAAGCCGCGUAUCUUUUAUUCUGUUAGGUUUUGGGGGAUUCUGAAAAUCUUUUUAAUACAAUGGUUCAAUUCGGAUUUAACUUUUCGAGUAGAUGAUUUUUCAUAUAAAAAACUUUUUAAUCUGAGUUCGUAUGUAAAAGUUAUGCCCAUUUUACUAAAUUCCACAAAGAUUUUACAAAUAAAGUCGUAGUUCAUAUUUGUAAAAUUUCCCAACAACUAGACCGUGGGAAACUUAUUUUCUUUUAUUUUUUUACAUUUCCAUCAUUUUCUUUUAUUUUUUGUAAAACUAAAAAGGCAGUCCACGAGGGGGGUGCAUUUGGUUAGUAGUGGCGCACCAGGGGAUAGUGCACCAUUAUUAGUUGAUAUAGUAAUGGCGCAUCUUCACAAAGUGCGCAAUUACUAUGUGUAUGACUUGGUCAAACCUUGGUCAAAGUUAGUAAUGGCGCACUUUGUGUAGGUGCGCCAUUACUAAGUUUGACAUAAUAAUGGCGCACCUAUGCAAAGUGCACCAUUACUAGUAAUGGCGCACUAUCCCCUGGUGCGCCACUGCUAAUAAUUUUUUUAUCUUUUUUCCAAAACUAGUAAUAACGCAUCACACACCAGGUGCGCCAUUAGUAAUAUGUCAAUAAUGGCGCGUCUGUAUCUAGUGCGCCACUGCUAUAUAGCAGUGGCGCACCACAUACAUGGUGCGUCAUUAAUGUUCAUAUUAGCUAUAGCCCUUUUCCUAGUAGUGAAUGAAUGGAGGAUGAGCGGGGAUGGCAAUGCCACGAGCGCGUGGCCCACCUUCGGCCUCAGGGCUAUCGACCGAUAUGAUCCUAUUUUCAAGCAACAAAUAAAUAGAAAAACACAAAAUAAUAUCUGGGGUCCUUGAAGUUUCCUUUUUAUAUACUAAGCGCAUCUCAAACCAGUGUUGUAAAGCUCCCGUAAAGGUCUAGACCACGUGAUCCACACACUUUUUUCCAUCUAAUGCCGACCCCUAAAUGUCUGUGGACCACUUUUCAUGUCCGUCCCCCUGUUAGAAGGGAGAGAGGUUUGGUGAAAUAUUUCAUUGUAUUGUUUGAGCCUCGUGGGCAUAUAAAUAGAGUACAAAGACCAACUUGGAGUACAAGACAAGGUAGGACCAAAUCCUAGUCUAUCCUAUACUUCCUAAUAAUUCUUAUACUCAACAUCCCCCCGCAGUCACAAUGGUAGCGACGCAGACGGUGAGACUGGGGAAGAAUCCGAAGGCAAGCCANNNNNNNNNNNNNNNNNNNNNNNNNNNNNNNNNNNNNNNNNNNNNNNNNNNNNNNNNNNNNNNNNNNNNNNNNNNNNNNNNNNNNNNNNNNNNNNNNNNNNNNNNNNNNNNNNNNNNNNNNNNNNNNNNNNNNNNNNNNNNNNNNNNNNNNNNNNNNNNNNNNNNNNNNNNNNNNNNNNNNNNNNNNNNNNNNNNNNNNNNNNNNNNNNNNNNNNNNNNNNNNNNNNNNNNNNNNNNNNNNNNNNNNNNNNNNNNNNNNNNNNNNNNNNNNNNNNNNNNNNNNNNNNNNNNNNNNNNNNNNNNNNNNNNNNNNNNNNNNNNNNNNNNNNNNNNNNNNNNNNNNNNNNNNNNNNNNNNNNNNNNNNNNNNNNNNNNNNNNNNNNACGCAUCACGGAGUCAUGGCUGGAGUGGAAACCGACGGGGUUGCUCAAGCAGGCGGUAGCCCUUUGUGUCGUUUGUCGAUGUAGCCAAGAGCAUGGGUGGUGGAGCCGUGCAAAGAAUGCCGUGGUCGAUGUCGAGUCGGGGUGGCCGGUGUCGAGGAAGUCGCCGUGGAGCCACGGGCGCAAGGGAGCACCGAGUUAGCAUGGGCGCAGUGGUGUCGGAGUAGUGGUGCGCGGGGGAGAAGAUGUUGUUGACGACGUGUCGCGGCGGGUUUGCCAAGCCCGGGGACACAUCAUGGACGAAGGCACGCAACGGUGUUGCCAGCACCGGGCAUGCGUAGGCGGACGAAGACGAAGUUGACGAAGCGCCUACCAGGCUUGCCAGGCCCGGGGAAACGUCGUGGACGAAGGCACGCAUCAGUGUUGCCAGCACUGGGCAUGCGUAGACGAGGGACCUGCACGAGUUGUAUGCCAUAUCGGAAAAGUCGAAGAGGCCAGCAGAGAAGAACUCGACGACGAUUGCGGCGUCCAUCAGCGUGGGGCCGAUAUCGCCAAUGGUGGUUGGAGUAGACGAAGUGGUCGGGGUAGAUGAUGGCGACGCUGGUGAUAGGCUGGUGCUUGGAUGAAAAUGAAGGGGGUGGACGGGCGGCGGCGGCAACUACGAAGGUAGCAGCGGCGGCAGACAAAGUAGAGCGGCAGCGGCGGCCUGACGGCGACGGUGGCGGCUAGGUUAGGAGUGCGGCGGCGGUGCUCGAAGUAGGCGAAGAACCCUGCCAGCGUGACGAAGACCGGCGCGGAUGGUGGAGUUCCCACACCAAGGGAGAAGGCGCGGCGCAUACCACGGGAAGUCGACGUGCUAUGACGGUGGAGCGGACCGCGGGCCGCGGCGCUACGGCCUGAGAGGGCGACGCAGCGGCGGCAGGCGGGUCGGGGCGACGGCGUGAAGACCUCUGGGCGGCGGCGGGGACCGCAGGCCGCAACGCUGCGGCCCGAAGGGGCGACACAAUGGUUGUUCGCGAGUCGGUGCAACCGCGGGGACGGCCUCGAGGCGGCGGCGGGGACCGCGUAUCGCGACACUAUGGCCCAAACGGGCGACACUACGGACCGCGUCGAGAUCUGUGCGACGAUGAUGGGGGCGUUCGCUAGGGUUGACCUCCCAGUACACGCCAGCCAGAUAAAAUUUCUGUUAUUUUAAUUGAAUUCAUGAGGUGGUGAAGAAGGUGUGUUCAUCUCCUAGCGUCGCAUGUGGCGAAAGGUUGGCUAGGUUUAAGGAUUCAAGAUCUAGCGAAAGAAAGAUAUGAACCAAAUCAGAAUGAUCCAAAAUAAAAAUAGUAUUUCAUGUAAACAGAAAACAUGAAUUCUAAAUCCUUACUAUAAAGAAACAUUACAAAAUAACAAUAAUGAUCUCGUGUUCCUAAUAAUUGUGAGUACACGUAUAUAUACCCUCUGGAGAGGUGCAUCACACAUAUGUGAUGGUUUCAAGUGACAAUGUGAAGUCACAAUACGUGGACCCAGGUCUCGCCUAAUCUAAUCCAACCUGGAUAACCGCACCAAGAAAGUGACAGUGAAGUGGACCAUCAUAUGUGUAGUGCCAUUUGCCAACCCAUGUACAUCAACUUGUGUAAGCUGCAUCAGUCGGUGUUGGAAAUAUGCCCUGGAGGCAAUAAUAAAGAUGUUAUUAUCAUAAUUCCUUCUUCAUGAUAAAUGUUUAUUAUCCCUUGGCCACCUGCCCCCCUAGAACCCGACGCCGGGGUAAUUUCCCUGGAAGUCGGUUCCUGAGCCGCCAGCUUGAGGAUUCCCUGGGGUCCAAUCCCACCACCAUUGUGAUGGUUCUGAAAAGCUUGAUUCCGAAAUUCCCGCAUCAUGAAACAGUUUGGCCAGGAAUGAUUUGCCGGCUUGUCAUCCACACUGUGUUUUGGGCAUGGGCCUUUGAGGUCUUCCUCAUAAUUACGAGGACGAUUUCCAUUGUAAGGUCGACCAGAAUUAUUGUUCCGGCGAUGACUCUUGAAACUGGUGUUAGUAUUGGCAACGAAAUUUGAAGCUCUGUCAGUAAUCUUGCAUUUAUUGCCACAGUUGUUGACAUGGUUGUUGUUUUUGUGUUGUGUGCGUGGAUACUCUGCGAGUGACCCUUGACACCACCAUUUUUCUUGCCCUUGCCAGAUUUCCCGUCAUCCGAAGUUGGAUCCUUCGUUUUAUCUUACAAUAAAAAAAACAAUUUCGUGAUGCCCUUGCCAAAUUUUGUCGGGCCGCGGCGCAGGCGUGCCCGGCGUGCGGAAGCGCCAAGAACGGCAGCAUCUGCGUCAAGUUUUCAUGAUGCGGGACAAAUAGUUUUAGAGUCAACAUUUUGUUUCCUUCUGAAACGUACUAGAGUUGACUUCUGUUAGUUUUGUUUUCUUCACUUUGUUGUUGUUGUUGUUGUUGUUGUUGUUGUUGUUGUUGUUGUUGUUGUUGUUGUUGUUGUUGUUGCUGUCGUUGCUGUUGUUGUUCCUGUUGUUGUUGUCGUUGCUGUCGUUGUUGCUGUUGUUGUUGUUGUUGAAGAAAAACAGUUCGUAGUAUUGCAGCUCAAUGCUUGAAAUUGAAUACAUAGAUUAGAAGUUGAACAACAUAUAUGGGGUUUGUUUAAGGGUUUUGCGGCGGCCCGGGGUGAAGCGGUCAAAGAUAGGAAUCCGAUUUAGAUCCAGCGAUCCAAAGAGUGACUUGAGUUUAAAGAAGUUUUGCUCGGUUGGCAAAAGGUUGAUUGCCAAAAUUCAUACAAUCGACUAUAUAGAGGGUCAUUAUUUAAUUUAUUCAGAUCCAACUGUCCAAAGAUUGAUUUGAAUUUAUAGGGCAAUUUUCAGAUGACAUAGAUAUGAGAGGAGGAGUUUCCCUACUUUUGUUCAAUUUAGUUGUUGGAUCAAUUGUUAUAAAAGAACAAAAACAAUUCGUAGUCUUGCAGAUAUAUGCUUCAAAUUAGAUACAUAGUUUAUAAAAUUGAACAAUAUAUAUGGGUUGUGGCCAAGGGUUUGCGGUGACUUAGGUGAGCGGUGGAAGAUGGUAGAGAUAGUGUAAACAUAGGCAUGGAGACAGAUGACAUCANNNNNNNNNNNNNNNNNNNNNNNNNNNNNNNNNNNNNNNNNNNNNNNNNNNNNNNNNNNNNNNNNNNNNNNNNNNNNNNNNNNNNNNNNNNNNNNNNNNNNNNNNNNNNNNNNNNNNNNNNNNNNNNNNNNNNNNNNNNNNNNNNNNNNNNNNNNNNNNNNNNNNNNNNNNGAGAGAAAUGAGCACAAGAUGGAUAGAGGAAGUGCGGUGCCUGGUGGUGCAUCUAUGAAAUUGAUGGAUGACUAGGCUUGGCCUUUAGAGACCUACACAAUAGGGAAGUCAAUUGAAGAUAGGAACCCUAUUCAGAUCCAGUGGCCCAAAGAUUUACUUGAAUUAAUUAAAUUUUUCUCGACUAGCAAAAUGUUGAUUGCCUAAAUUCGUAAAAAUGACUAUAUAGAAGGUCAUUAUUUAAUUGAUUUAGAUUUCCAACUGUCCAAAUAUUGAUUUGAAUUUACAGAAAAUUUGCUCAGCUGGCAAAAGGUUGGUUGCCUAAUUCAUGGAAACGGCUAUACAGAUGGUCGUUAUUUAAUUGAUUUAGAUCCAACUAUCCUAAUAUAGAUUUGCAUUUAUAAAAUUUUUUCUCAGCUUGCAAAAGGUUGGUGCUACAUUCGGACAAUCGAAUAUAUAGAAGAGCAUUAUUUAAUUUCAUUCAUGUGGCUGUGAAGAAGGUGCCAUGAUUUUUUCUUUAGUAUGUAUUUGUUCUUAUCAUUGAUCAAAUUUUGUGUUACUCUACCAUUUAUUUUCCUAAAACAUAUUUUCUUAUUCAUUUUUACUUGUGAGAUCGAUGAAUUGGCAAGAAAGCGAUGACAUCGAAUUGUGAGUGGAGUUGGUACAGUUGUAGACUUUUAUGCUUAUAUGAUGGUAGUGUUUAGUAUAGCUAUGGAGCAAACCCCGAGAAUACUUGUGGGUCGUAUGGUUGAUCGUGCAUUGGCUAGGGAUUCAAAUUUGCAAUACAUUUAUCACUCUAAAUUGCUCAAAAUAGUUAGGAAUGAGGAAGUCUCAUUUUUUCGAUUGUGUUCUUUGCAAUGUUGAGGAUAUCACUUAUCUUUAGCCUCUCGGUUUGCUAGGGAUUAUAGAUUAAUCAGAAAUAGGAUGAUUAAUCGAUUUUAUCGGUUGACUAUUAAUCGGCCAUUUUAUUACAAAUCCCAGGUUUCCAGCUCCAAAAUGUGCUAUUCAACACAAAAACAUAUUGGACAGAAGUGUUACCUUGAUUCCUUGCAUUUUAAUCCUUGUACAAUAACAAAUAAUAUAGGAAGGCAGCACAUAUUACGUAACAUGGUCCAAAAAUCACAAAUAAACAUAGUUCUUGCACACAUAUUGCUAGAAAUAUGCCCGAUUUAUCGGUAGAUUCCCUGCAAAUUGUUUGUUAGACUGAUAAAUUGGUCCACACUGACGAUAUGGCAUGAUCUUAUCGGUCAACCACCUAGCGAUAAAUCGAUGAAUCAACCAAUUUUUUGAACAGUGGUUCUCUGUGUGAAGAGAGGUAGAGAGAGAGAAUUGUUGUUGGGUAAUAUCUAUACCUGGCCAUGGGAACCCAGCCCGACCGGCCCGGCCUGAAAUAGCCUGACCCGGCCCGGCCUGGUCUUGCCCACGGGCCAGGCCUGGGCCUAGAUUUUGAGCCCAAACACCAGGGUGGGCCCGCCCGGCCUGGUCUUUUAGGGAAGAGGCCUCACCCGAGACUCAACGUGCUUAUGCACUGAUGUGCUAGGCCUGGGCAUGAAAUCUAGGCCCGAGAGCCAGGACGGGCCGGGACCGGGCCUAGGUUUUCAGUUGUGGGUAUUUUUAGGCUUGGCCCGAAGCCCGACCCGGCCUGAGUUAUGGCUAGGUAAGUAUCCAUACUUCUAUCAAGAAAGAAGCGGUUUAGUAUAGUUGGCCAUAACCAAAGGUAUAGUAUACUACAAUCGAUCUUUGGAAGAUCUACUGAAGUCAUUAUUAGAUAUUUUUAAGCGGUUCAGUAUGCUAUUAGCGAGUUGCGAAAUGCGAUGGGUCGGCCUCCCUCCCAUCAAUGCCGACCUAAAAUAUAAUGAAGCACCCACUUCAAACCAUAUUUGAAGGUAAUUUAAUUUAUUUACAAAUAAAUACAAAUAUUUGAUGAGACUUAUGAAUAAAAAACAUUGGUAUGUAUUAAUUAGGAUUGUAUUAGAGAAAUUGACGGGACUCAUGUGCUUGCUAAAAUCCCCAAAAGGAAAUCCGCUGCCUUUGAGGGUAGAAUAGAGGGGACUACAUACCCAAAAUGUGAUGGCUAUGGCAGACUUUGAUCUAAACUUUACCUAUGUACUUGCUGGGUAGGAGGUGGCGGUACUAAAACCGACUGAUCUCGGAUAGGGGGUCCCGAGCUGUGGAUCUAAGAGUGAUGGGUAACAAGAGACAAGGGAGACAAUGUGUACCCAGGUCCGGGCCCUCUCAAAGAGGUAAAACCCUAUGUCCUGCUUUGAUUGUUUUGAUUUGAUUGGGUACAAACUACAGGAUGAUCUACCUCGAGAUCAUAUGUUGUGUUCUAAACCCUAAAGUGAGUAAUUAUGCCACUACGGACUAAACCCCUCAACUUAUAUAGGCACCGGGGGUAUCUUGGGUUUCAUAUGGUCGGUUACCAACUAGGAGUAACACGUACUGAUCAUGUCAAGGUUCACACCUUCUGGAUGUUGCGAACAUAGCAUUGCUAUGCAUCUCCUAGUUUAACGCGGUUGAUGUAGUCGAAUGUCUUCUCGAUUCAACCGAUCAAGUACCGAAUGUAUGACACCUCCGAGUUCUGCACACGUUCAGCUCGAUGACGUCCCUCGAACUCUUGAUCCAGCAAAGUGUCGAGGGAGAGUUUUGUCAGCACGACGGUGUGGUGACAUUGAUGGUGAAGUGAUCCGCGCAGGGCUUCGCCUAAGCACUACGACAAUAUGACCAGAGGAGUAAACGGUGGAGGGGGGCACCGCAUACGGCUAAGAACAACUGAUGAUCCUUAGAGUUGCCCCCUGCCCCCAUAUAUAAAGGAGGUAGAGGGGAGGCGGCCGGCCUAGGUGGCGUGCCAAGUGGGGGGAAUCCCACUUGGACUCCUAGUCCUAUUCGGCCCCCCUUCCUUUUAUCGAAGGGGGAAAAGGGGGAAGGAGAGGGAGAGGGAGAAGGAAAGGGGCGUCGCGCCCCUCCCCUUGUCCAAUUCGGACACCCCAUGGGGGGUGCCACCCCCUUGUGGGACGCCUUGCCUCUCCCCUAUGGCCCAUGUGGCCCAUUACUUCCCCCGGGGGAUUCCGGUAACCUCCCGGUACUCCGAUAAAUACCCGAAACACUUCGGAACCAUUCCGGUGUCCGAAUACUAUCGUCCAAUAUAUCAAUGUUUACCUCUCGACCAUUUCGAGACUUCUCGUCAUGUCCAUGAUCUCAUCCAGGACUCCGAACAACAUUCGGUCACCAAAUCACAUAGCUCAUAUAAUACAAAUCAUCAUCGAACAUUAAGCGUGCGGACCCUACUGGUUCGAAAACUAUGUAGACAUGACCGAGAUUCCUCUCCGGUCAAUAACAAAUAGCGGAACCUGGAUGCUCAUAUUGGUUCCCACAUAUUCUAUGAAGAUCUUUAUCGGUCAAACCGUAAUGACAACAUACGUUAUUCCCAUUGUCAUCGGUAUGUUACUUGCCCGAGAUUUGAUCAUCGGUAUCUCCAUACCUAGUUCAAUCUCGUUACCGGCAAGUCUCUUUACUCGCUUCUGUAAGUGCAUCUAGUGCCCCUUAGUGAUUUUGGUGUAUUGAAGACUCAUAGGUUAAGAGAAUAAUGCGUUUGUGAGUGUACACAGGUCUAUAAAUCUAUGAGGAGUCUGAUAUUUACAGAGAAAUUCGACCCCUAAAAAUGAAGUUCUUCGACUGAAGACUUUGGAUUUCUGAAGACUUUGGAAGUGAAGAAAUUGGUGUGACCUUGAAGACUUGGUAUUCAUUCGAGGAACAUGAAGCAUGAAGACUUUUGUUUUCGUACUUUCAUUUUCUCUUUCUUUAGUCAUAGGAAACACCGUACUGUUAAAGGGGGUCGAGGAAAUACUAAGGAAAAAUUUCCAUGUGAUGCUCAACUCAAAAUCCUACACCUACCAAUCCCUCUGAGUGAAGCCAUUGGAAAUCUCAUACAGUCCAGUCAUAUUCUUCAGCGACAGAGACGAAGUUCUUCUGGUCUUUGAGGAAUUUGUUCUGACUGAGGAGUUAGGAAUUCGCCAGUGCAGAUUUCCUACACAGUGAGGAACAUGAUAGCCCUGAGGAUUUUUCUACUCAAAAUUCCGACCGUUGCUGUGCUAUGCGCCAGCUGUCCCAAAAUAUCUAUCCAUCUAACGGUCAUAUCAUUGAAGGGCAUUUAUGUCUUAUCAUGUCGAGCUGCUCCCUAGGCUAUAAAUAGCUGCCCCUACAACCACUAGCUGGUUGGCUGCUCCGAGAGAAGCUAACACUUGUCAUUUGAGAGCAACCCAUCCUCUAGGACUUUGAGCGAAAAUCAUCGAGUGAGGAAAAACCCAAACCCAAACACCUACAAACCCCAAGUGAUUGAGCAUCACUGAAGAGAUUGAUCCUGUGUGGAUCCGACGCUUGUUACCUUUGAAGACUGUGCUUCUUCCAGACGGUUAGGCGUCAUGGUCUAGAGCAUCCAAGAGGAAUUGUGGAUCGCCGAGUGACCAAGUUUGUGAAGGUUCGAAAGUCACAUGAAGACUUACCACGAGUGAUUGGACGAGGUCUGUGUGACCUUAGUUCAAGGAGAAUACGGUGAGGACUGGGUAUCCUGAGCUGCGUGUUCAGGACUGGGUAUCCGAGACUGUGUGUCCUCGAGUUUAAAUACUCAGCCGCUCCAACUAGACGUACAACUAAGACAGCAGUUGGAACUGGUCUACCAAAUCAUUGUCUUCACCAAGCUUACUGGUUCUAUUUCCUCAACUCUUUCAUUUCCUCAUAACUGUGUUGUGUGCUUGUUCAUAUCUGUGUUUGAAGACUUUGACUGAAGACUUUCUCAAUUUCCUCAGUUCAAUUUCUUCAGUCUGUUCAUCUUCAUCCUGUGCUUACGCUACCUGUACUCUGUGCCUAUCUUCAUUUCAUCAUGGUGACCAUGCUUGUAUUCUAAGUUUACUUUUGAGUACUUAUUCCGCUGCUAGUAGUUCUUCACUAAGGAAUUUCCUCACCGGCAAAUUCCUCAGUGGAGAAUUUCAUAAAAAUCGCCUAUUCACCCCCCCUCUAGUUAAUAUAACGCACUUUCAAUUGGUAUCAGAGCAAGGUACUCCCUUGUUCUGUGUGAUUUUGGUUUAGCCGCCUGGAGUUUUAGUUAUGUCGACCGUAGGUAUGAUCAAGGUCUCUGCUGGGUGUCCUACCUUCGAUGGGACGGACUACCCCUACUAGAAGAAAAAGAUGCGAAUGCUUCUUGAGGCAAUUGAUAACGAUCUCUGGUAUGUUGUGGAAAAUGGUGUUCCCUCAGUCACAGCUUCUCUGAAUGCUGCUGAUGUGAAGAGAUUCAAGCAACUCGACUCUCAAGCGAAGAAUAUCAUAUGUGGCCAUCUGAGCAAAGGACAGUAUGGCAGAGUGAGUGCUUUGGAGACAGCGAAGCUUAUCUGGGACAGGUUGUCCAAAGUGAAUGAAGGAGUCUCAACACAACGUGACUCUCGAGUUGAUGUUCUUUGCAAUCUCUUCAACCGCUUCAAAAGACUCGACAAUGAAAAUAUUCAACAAACCUUCGAUCGCCUCACUGACAUCUCAAAUGAGCUUCAAGCACUUGGUGCCACUGACAUCACCGACCAUGAGGUGGUGAAGAAAUUGCUGAGAUUGUUUGAUUCCUCAUUUGACACUCUGGCAUUGAUGAUACAAGAACGUGCUGAUUACAAGUCACUUGAUCCCGCUGAUAUUCUCGAGAGGCUAAAUACUCAUGAGUUCCAACUUGCUGAAAAAAGAGAUCUCUAUGGUUCAAACUAUGGAGAUCACGUGCACUGAAGGCCAAGGCAGUAUCUAAGUCCGAAGAUGAAGACUCUGGUAGCAGCCUUGGUGAUCCUGAAGAACUAAGCCAUGAUCUAGAUCUGCUCGUGAAGAAGUUCCAAAAGUUCUCCAGAUGUGGUCGCCUUGGAAGACGCUCAAGGAGCAAUGAUUCCUCAUCCAGUGACUACAAGAGGAGGCUCUGUCACAAAUGCAAGAAACCUGGACAUUACAUUCAAGAUUGUCCUCAGUGGGAAAAGGAAUCAAAGAAGAAGAAAUGCAAGGAUUACAGUUCUGAUGAUGCGAAGAAAAAGAAGAAAUCCACAAAAUCUUCAUCAUCAAAAUCCUCAAAGCCUUCAUAUCACAAGAAGAGCAGCUCCAAGAAGGCUAGGGCAUUCAUUGGCAAGGAAAUGGACUCUGAGGCUGAAUCUGAAGAAAAUGAUGAAGAGGAGACAUCUGAGGAGUCUGAAUCCGGAGUGGCAAGCCUAGAUCUCGCUACUGCAUUCGUCAGCAAGUCUAUCUUCAACACCAAAGAAAAUGACCUCACCAACAAGGCUGAUGAAGGCGAUGAUGACUACGCUCCCACCUACUGCUUUAUGGCAAAGGGUGCCAAGGUACUCAAAUAUAGUUCCUCUGAAUCAAGUGAGAAUGAAUCUGAUGAAAACCUUAAGCCCAGCUAUUCUAAACUUGCUAAGAUUGCUAUAAAACAACAAAAGGCUUUAGAAAAGGUUCAAAACAUGCUAGAAAAAAGUGAUGAUGUGUUGGGUGAAGAAAUGGAUCGCAGUAAAGCCUUGACUGAAAAUCUUCAAAGACUUCAGACUAGGUUUGACAAUCUUCAAGGUCAUCAUAACACUCUCUUAUCCGAUCAUGAGAAGCUUUCUUAUGAAUUUCUUCAAAGAAAGCAAGACCUUGAGAAGCUAAGAGUGAGUUAUGAAGAUCUUCAGAAGGAGCGCAAUUCAUUACUUGCUCAACAAAUCAGCGCUUCUUAGGAAGAAUUUGUUCCUCCAUGUUUGAAAUGCAUUGAACGUGAAUCUGCUAAUUCUUCACCUGAAUGUUCAAAUGCUGCUAAUGUUUCAAAUUCUUCACAUGCUUCUGUUAUCACUAAUUCCUCAUCUGAGGACAUUGCUAGUAUCACUGACGAUGCGGGGCUGAAGGAAUUAUACAUGACAGGCAUGUAGAAAAGCCUCAAAGGGCAUCAGACUCUUUGUGAUGUGCUUAAAAAGCAGAUCCUCAACAGGAACCCUAGGAAAGAGGGUAUUGCCUUUGAGAGGAAACUCAAUGCUGAUGGUACAUAUUGGAGGCCUAAGCAGUACCCCAAAACUACAUGGGUUGCUGCAAAGGGACCUCCAGUUGAUCCAUCUAACUUAUCUAGAUUUGCAUGUGAAUCUCCUUGUUUUGAUGAUGAGUCAUUUGACUCCAACUAUAAACUAUUCAAAAAUCAGAAUGGUGAAGUAUUUUCUAGAUAUGUUGGCACUAACUUCAAAAAUCACGUCCUCAUAUUUCUUUAUCUGUUCUUUUGCUUGAUGAAAUUGAUCUGAUGAAUUGAUGUCAUAUUCUUCACUGAUGAAGUAUAUGAGUUUGUAAGCUGCACUAAUUCAUCUGCAGGAUGAUCAAUCCAAAGCCACUGAGUGGGUCCUUGAUAGUGGAUGUACAAAUCACAUGACUGGUGACAAGAAUUAUUGAUGGAUGCUCCAUUAUCUCCGUCGCAUCUGAAGCAUAUCAUCUUUGCUGACAAAGGCAAAAGUCAUGUAUUGGGUCUAGGUAAGGUUGCGAUCACAAAGGAUCGACACAUGGACAAAGUCAUGCUUGUUGAGUCCUUAGGAUACAACCUUAUGUCUGUCUCAAUGCUUUGUGAUCUUGAUAUGGUUGUUGUCUUUGGCAAAUACCGUUGUGUUGUGGUUAUGGACGCUGACAAUUCCAAAGUCUUCGAAGGCUUUAGGAGAGGAGACCUGUAUAUUGUUGAUUUCCUUACAGGACCACUACCAGCCGUGUGUCUACUUGCAAAAGCUUCAGAAGGCUGGCUCUGGCAUCGACGACUCGGUCAUGCAGGCAUGAGGAAUUUGCACACGCUUGCGAAGAAGAAGCAUGUCAUUGGCAUCGAGAAUGUCAAAUUCCUCAAGGAUCACCUAUGUGGAGCCUGUGGAGCUGGGAAGAUGACAAAGGCCAAGCAUCCAGCGAAGACUAUCAUGACCACUCCUCGCCCAUUUGAAUUGCUUCACAUGGAUCUCUUUGGUCCUAAUCAUUAUUCUGCUGUUUCAAAUGAAGCAUCUCAAUAUGGCUUUGUUAUUGUUGAUAAUUACUCUCGUUACACAUGGGUACACCUUGUUACAUACAAACAUGAAGUGCAGGAAGUCUUCAAACGAUUUUCCUCGAGGGUUUCAACCAACUUUGGUGUGAAGAUCAAGCACAUUAGAAGUGACAAUGACACUGAGUUCUGGAAUUCUGGUCUCGAUGACUAUCUUGAUGAACUUGGUAUAACUCAUGAGUUAUCUGCUCCUUACACUCCUCAGCAGAACGGUGUCGUGGAGCGCAAGAACAGGACUCUUGCUGAGAUGGCUCGCACUAUGCUUGAUGAAUACAAAACGACUCAUCGUUUCUGGACUGAGGCAAUUGAUACUGCAUGCCACAUCAUCAACAGAGUAUACCUUCACAAAUUCUUCAAGAAGACUGCCUAUGAACUUCUCACUAAUAACAAACCCAAUGUAAGUUAUUUCAAGGUCUUCGGUGCUAAAUGUUGGAUAAGAGAUCAUCAUCACAACUCAAAAUUUGCACCGAAAGCACAUGAAGGUUUUAUGCUUGGUUACGGAAAGGACUCGCACACCUACAGAGUCUUCAACAAAGUUCUUCACAAGGUUGUUGAAACUGUAGAUGUGCGAUUUGAUGAAACUAAUGGCUCGCAAAGAGAGCACCUACCUACUGUGAUAGAUGAACCAGCACCUGAGGAAACUAUCAAGUUCAAGGCUUCUGAGGAUGUCAUUCCUACUGAAGAAUUCAUUCCAGAACAUGAAGAACGUCGAGCUAAUGCACCUGAAGAAAAUACUGAAGAAAAUGGUGCUGAAGAGAAUGCUGAUCAAAUUCUUCAACGACAACUAGCUCAUCCUCGCAUUGCAAAAGAAGUGCAAGUUGAAAAGAUCAUCAAUGACAUCAAAGCGCCAGGUCCUCUCACACGCUCAAAAGCUUCACAUUUAUCUAACUUUUGUGAGAACUAUGCUUUUGUCUCUAUUAUAGAGCCCACUAAGGUAGAUGAAGCAUUUCUGGAGCCCGAGUGGAUUCAGGCCAUGCAAGAAGAAUUACAUCAGUUCGAGCUCAACAAUGUCUGGGAACUGGUCAAACGUCCAGAUCCUCGCAAGCACAAUAUCAUUGGCACAAAGUGGAUCUACCGCAACAAGCAAGAUGAAAAUGGCCUUGUGGUGAGGAAUAAGGCACGACUCAUAGCUCAAGGCUACACACAGGUUGAAAGAAUUGAUUUCGAUGAAACUUUUGCAUCUAUUGCUAGACUUGAGGCUAUUCGCAUAUUACUUGCUUGUGCUAACCAUCAUGAUAUCACUUUAUAUCAAAUGGAUGUGAAAAGUGCAUUCCUCAAUGGUAAGCUUGAGGAAGAAGUAUAUGUUGCUCAACCCCUAGGUUUUGAAGAUCCAAAGAAUCCUGACAAAGUCUUCAGACUCAACAAGGCCCUCUAUGGCCUCAAGCAGGCCCCACGGGCGUGGUAUGAUACCUUGAAGGAAUUCUUCAUGAAGAAAGUCUUCAAACCCGGUUCACUCGACCCUAUUCUUUUCACUAAAUCUAAUGAUGGUGAAUUGUUUGUGUGCCAAAUAUAUGUUGAUGAUAUUAUCUUCGGCUGUACUGACCAACGUUAUAGUGAUGAAUUUGCCUAUAUGAUGAGUGAAGAAUAUCAAAUGUCUAUGAUUGGAGAGUUGAAAUUAUUCUUAGGUUUUCAAAUUCGUCAACAACGCAAUGGCAUAUUCAUAUCCUAGGAGAAAUACCUCAAGAAUGUACUGAGGAAAUUCGGCAUGCAAGAUUGCAAAGGCGUCAAAAUUCCUAUGCCCACAAAUGGCCAUCUGUGCACUGAUGAAAAUGGUAUUGACUUCGAUCAUAAGGUAUACCGCUUCAUGAUUGGCUCUUUAUUGUACCUAUGUGCAUCUAGGCCAGACAUAAUGCUUAGUGUUUGCAUGUGUGCCCGAUUUCAAGCUACACCGAAGGAAUCACACCAUAAGGUUGUGAAGCAUAUUCUUCGAUAUCUAGCUCACACACCAACACUUGGAUUAUGGUACCCCAAGGGAUCGGUUUAUGAUCUCAUUGGAUAUUCUGACUCUGACUAUGUUGGUGAUCGUGUGGACCGCAAGUCAACAUCUGGUACAUGUCAUUUCCUCGGACGAUUUUUGGUCUGUUGGUCCUCGAAGAAACAAAACUGCGUAUCACUAUCUACUGCUGAAGCUGAGUACAUAGCCGCUGGUUCUUGCUGUGCUCAAUUGCUAUGGAUGAAGCAAACUCUCAAGGACUACGGCGUCAACAUGAAGAAUGUGCCUCUCUUCUGUGACAAUGAGAGUGGCAUCAAGAUUGCUCACAACCCAUUUCAGCACUCAAAGAUUAAGCACAUUCAGAUUUGUCAUCAUUUUCUUCGUGAUCAUGUGUUGAAGGGCGAUAUUUCUAUUGAGCAUGUGAAGACUGAAUAACAGCUAGCCGAUAUCUUCACAAAUCCCUUGGAUGAGAAAAGAUUUAGCAAGUUGCGGUGUGAGCUAAAUAUCCUAGAAUCUUCGAAUGUUCUUUGAAAGGAACACUCAUCCUAACAAUUAUGCAAAAUUGAUGACUUAGAUGUGCAACACAUAAAGAAACGUUUUUCUUCAAUCAAUGAAGAAUAACACUCUUAGUGUGAAGAAAUUAAUGAAGAAUUUGAUUACCAGAACACUACGAUAAUUGUACAUGGUGUCUGAAAUCAUCAUUCUUAUACGGUGGGUCACGCCACCACCAAAAGUUGAAAUUUCUCAAUUAUUCAUAUUCUUCAACUUUGCAUUGUCUUCACAGUUUCNNNNNNNNNNNNNNNNNNNNNNNNNNNNNNNNNNNNNNNNNNNNNNNNNNNNNNNNNNNNNNNNNNNNNNNNNNNNNNNNNNNNNNNNNNNNNNNNNNNNNNNNNNNNNNNNNNNNNNNNNNNNNNNNNNNNNNNNNNNNNNNNNNNNNNNNNNNNNNNNNNNNNNNNNNNNNNNNNNNNNNNNNNNNNNNNNNNNNNNNNNNNNNNNNNNNNNNNNNNNNNNNNNNNNNNNNNNNNNNNNNNNNNNNNNNNNNNNNNNNNNNNNNNNNNNNNNNNNNNNNNNNNNNNNNNNNNNNNNNNNNNNNNNNNNNNNNNNNNNNNNNNNNNNNNNNNNNNNNNNNNNNNNNNNNNNNNNNNNNNNNNNNNNNNNNNNNNNNNNNNNNNNNNNNNNNNNNNNNNNNNNNNNNNNNNNNNNNNNNNNNNNAUAUAUGGCUGAGUUAUUCUGUUACCGGUAACAGAAUAUUAUUCUGUUACCCCCCGUUCAGUUCGAUGAUAUAAACCAUGCAAGUACAGGGGCGAUGAUAAUCCUCAGUACAAACAUACACAUAUAUCAGUACACGACUACUCUAUUUUUCAGACGAGAAAACAGCAUGAUCCGUCAUGCCGUAUUCAAAAUUACUCUUAAAGGGUUACGAAGUAGAGAAAACGUUCAACAUGACUAAGUUUCGCAUUUUUGAUAGCUAUCCAACGGUAUAUUAUUUGUCAUAUUUCGACGAACUUUUUAAAAAAAUCGCGUUCAAAAUCUAAUUUGACCGUAUUCGAAUUCGUUUUUAAACCGUAAGGAAUUAGAAAAACAUUUAUAUACAAAAAAGUUGCGCAUUUUCCAUAGCUUUCCAACGCCGUAUCGUUUGCGUCAAUCCGACGAACCGUUUACAAAAAAUCACGAAAAUACGUUUCGCCCAGAAUUUCACCGUUUUUCAAAUUGCUUUUAAAUCAUAUAGAAUUAGAAAAAACAAUACAUAUAUGGAAGAUGCGGGUUUUCACCAGCUUUCCAACGCCAUAUUAUUUGCUCAAUUCCGACAAACGGUUUGAAAAUUGAGUCCGAAAUACGAUUCACGUGUUCGGUUUUGAAAAAAACGGUUUUUUUCAAAACUGGUCUUAAACCAUAAUGAUUUUGCGAAAACAUUCAAUAUACUUAAAAUAUGGUUGUCAAGAGCUUUCCAACGAUAUAUUACACGCCCCGUUCCGACAAAAAAAUUAUAAAAGUUUUUGAACUAAAGAAGACGAUCGUACUGAUAUAUAUGUGAUCAGUUCAAGACAACUGAAAGAAUCAGUUCAACCGCUUCGGAAACAUCAGUACAACCACCUGAAACCGUCAGUUCAAAAGGGUAACAGAAUAAUAUUCUGUUACUCAUACAUAUAUAUAUAUAUAUAUAUAUAUAUAUAUAUAUAUAUAUAUAUAUGUUAUGUCCUCUACAGCAUUCACUUAUUGCUAAUUCUUCAAAUUGGUUUUUCUGCUAAGUGAAUGUGAUCGGACCCUUUCCCUCUAUGCUAUACUCAACCCAAACUAUUCACAAAUUCUUCAUGUGCGUUCUAUUUGAAAGUCGUUCAAAAUCUUCACUGUGUCCUUGUCAGCUGAAGAAAUUGCGAACGGAACUUUAAAACCUAUCUUAUCUAAAUUUUCGGCUUUGCUGCUCAAACCGCUCCGCAUCCCAUGAUACACUUAUCCAUUCACCCACGAUCGCAAACGAUCUCCACCUCUCAGUACGUGGGUGACACAUGUCGAGCGAAUGAGAAUGGUCAGGGGCACGUUCGUCCAAUUUCUUCAGGCGAAUAGUUUUCCACCGUGGCUAUAAAUACCCCUCCUUUCCUUCCUCACUUCUUUUACUCCGCUCAACCUCUCUCCAGCUCGAGCUUCUCAAACCCUAGCGCUGCCGCUACUUCAUCGUCACCGGUGAGGAAGAGCUUCACUGCCUCGACCUCGUCGCCGCCGUACUCGCGCCGACCGCGGAAAUCUUCACUCCGCCACCGUCGUAGCCGUCUUCCUCCACCGAGUUAGGGCGUGGAAGAUCUACACAGAUGAACUUCACCUCUCCACUUCAUUGUUCGUCGUGUUCUUCAUCCAGGGUAAUUAAAAGUUACUUUUACUACCCUCGUUGAUUCGAAUGAUUAUCUACAAAAUCUUCAAAGGUGUUUUUCUUCAUAUCCUCACACACUAAACACCUCACAAGUCAUUUGUCCUUGAUUCGUUUCUCUAAGCAUCAUUUUUCUUCAAGAUUCCUCAAUUGUGUGGAUCUUCGAUCUAUACAACUCUGGAACCUAAAAUAAAGAACGCUUAGUGAAAUUCUUCAAGACUCAUAUGGUCAAAUUCCUCAAACUUGUUCUUUUUGAAAAACCUUCUAAGAACGCAUAUGACCUCUCCAAAUUCCUCGCAACUAUACUCUGUUCACAGGUGCUCAUGUCAGCUGCUGAAUCACUAGGUUCUCAUCAACUUAACUCAUUUGCAGUGUUCCUCGAAGAAAAGUUGCAUACUUCUUCAGAGAAUUCAAUUGUCCAAAUACAACAUUUGAGAUCAAUACAACGUUUGAGAUCCCUGAUGAAAUAUAUGCUGGCUACUGCACACCUACUGAGGAAACCAAGAAUGAGCGCAAGGUGCACAUUCAGAAGAUAGAGAGGAGAUGGGCUAGAGAGUGGAGGGAGUAUAGAUAUGUCACUCCCAAGUACAUGAAGAAAUUCGCACUCAAUCCUCCAUGCCCAAGACCUCCAUUGGCACCUGGACAAAUAGCUGAUCCCACCAGCCUCAAGCGCGGUGAGGACUAUCCUGGUGAAUGGGCCAAGCGCCAAGCCAAGUUGCCUAAGCAAGCCAGAGAAGCAGUGAGGAAAUUCAAUGAAGACUAUACUGCUGCUGCUGCCUCUGCUGAGGCCUCUGCUGUCAAGCCGAAGAAGGCUGUGUCAAAGAAGCCUGCGCGCAAGCCAAGUGCUUCACCAACAAUGCCCUCACGGCUAGAAACCUCAAAGCCCUCACGGAAAAUUCCUCAUGCUGCUCCUGCUCCUUCAAAACCCUCAGCUCCUCCAAAGUCCUCAGCUGUUCCGACAAAGUCCUCUGCACCUAUGCAUCUUGCCUCGUGCCAAAGGACUGUAGGAAUCUCCAUUGCCUCAGGUGUCUCAGCUAAUUCCUCAGCUGCACCAAAUUCCUCAAUGGGACCCUCUCUCCUGAAGACAAAGGCCACUGCUGGACGAGGUCCUCGCCCAAGUCCUCAGAAGAAGCAAGUCGCUUUCCAAGUGCCAUCUGAAGAAGACGAAGCUGAUGAUGAUGAACUUGCAGAAAUCAUCAGAGAUAGGCAAGUCAGGGCCGCUAGAGCCAAGGGAACAAAUGUGCCACUACUUUUGGAUCCCAAGUUGAUCCUCGAAUACAUUGACAUUUGGCACAAGGACCCCAACACUCCCAUGCCUGACUUCAAGCUGACUCCUGGCCAAAGUCACAUGCUGACUCACUUCAUACAGGAAGAGAAAUGGAAAUUUGAACAGGGGAGGAGGGUGAAGAAAGCGCAGUACAAGAAAGAGCGCUUUCUGAAGCAAAACGUUCUGAAACUUUCACCUGAAGAACUUGUCGCUCUCCAAUCAGAAAUCAAGAAACUGAGUGAUGAAUUUGAUCGCUAUUAUGCUGACUGGCUGGGAGCCAACGUCAGAUUUGUAAAGAUAACAGAACAGUUCACCUCCAAUGUUGCAGCCCCAACGCAACUGGAAAUUCCUCAGGCUGAAGCAUCUGCUCAGCCUACUGAAGAAAAUGCCAGCACCGCUCAUGACAAUCAGGCUGCUGAAGAAAACAUGAGUUCCAGGGCUAAUGACUGCAUUCCAGCCGCUGAAGAAAUUGCCAGGGCAUCCACUAGUAGUGCGCCUGAAGAAACUGAAGAAAUCAGGGCAACUGCAUCAGUUGUGCCUGAAGAAAAUCAACCAGAUUCCUCUGCUCCUCCUGCGCCAACACCAACUCCGAUCCUUCCAUCUGCAUCAGAUGUGAAGAAGACCAAGGCUGCAGAGCGUGCAGCAGCGAAAAAAAGGAAAGCAUCAGCUACUUCAGAUUUUUUAGCUCCGAAAGAGAUGAAGCCUUUGACAAGUUCAUUUACUAAUCCCAUUGAUGUUGUUCCGAUCUCAACCAUGCCAUCAAAGGACCUUGUUCCUUUUAGUGAAGAAUAUGAGAUCCCUAGCGGAUCUGAUGAAGAAAAUCAUUCUGCUGCUUCGUCAGAGCAGAUUGAUGAAGAAAUUGAAGUGGAUACAAUCCCUUCAACACCUAUCAUUUCCUCGCCCAUACCUCAGUUCGCAGCUGAAGAGGCUGGCAUUGAAGAAAUGGAAGAUGAAGAUGUGGACGUUGGCUGCUCCACACCCGUAAUAAGUGAUGAAUUCUGGGAAAGUCAGCAUCCAAACUCUCCAAUGUUCACACUGUUGCAGCAAAUACCUCAGUCACCUGCACAAACUGUUCAAAUGGGCUCUGAAGAAACUCACCCCACUUCAUCUGUACAUGAGGAAAUUCCAGCCACUAGUGCUGAAGAAACUGCUGCUGCUGAACAUCUGAAGACGCAGACUGCCACUGAAGAGGAACCAGAAAUUCCUCAGCCUGAAGAACCUGAGAUUGCGAUUCCCGAGGUCGUGAUGCAACUCACUGACACUCCUCUUCCAAAGCCAAAGGAUCCAUUCUCACGCAAGCAAAAGUUCAAGGCUGAUGAUUUCUUCGGCGAGCACGUAUUCUUCGAAGACUACAACCCAUAUAACUCUGCUCGCAUUAGGAAGAGGCGUUUCUGGACUACUAGUCAAGCCAAUUUCUAUUCCUCAGUGCUGUUCAACAAAGAUAAAAUCUUCUACCAUGAGAACAUUCCUCACGUGGAUAUGGAAUCUCUGUCGUGCUUCGCACCAGUCCUUAGUAUUCUUCACGACGAUGGACUGUUAAACUUUUGCUCUGACAUCUGUGAUUGGAAUGAAGAACUGAUUCUUCAAUACUAUGCAACGCUGCACAUCACAGGAGAUUCUGAAGAUGUGAAUUCAUGGGUGCUAUACUGGAUGUCUGAAAACACUCACUACACUGCACCAGCCUCUGAAUUGCUUCGUGCCUUACCACUCAGUCCUCCCCUUGAAGAAGCUCGUUGCAUCUACAGUGAACCUGAGCUUACAAAUCACUACAUGUAGGUGCUGAUGAAACCUUUGAAGCCAGGUCAGGUACCAAGAACCAAAUUCCUCGUGAAGGAAUUGCUUUAUGUUCCCAGAACUGUCUAUCGUAUUCUUACGAGGACAAUAAGUCCUAUCAAAGCCCACGACUCAUCUGAUGAGAAAAUUGUUGGCAUCAUGAAGAAUCUGGUAUUCAACAUCGUUCAUGGCAUUCCUGUCAAUUAUCAUGACUUCUUCAUGAGGACUCUGGCAAAUGUUGAACUGUCUCCGUUUGAGCUGAAGCUUUAUGCACCUUGGAUUAUGAGAUUCCUCAGGACAAGGUCUUCACUCAACUACAAAGCUGAUUUUCAGAAUCACCUCAGCUACUUGCCCCCGAUUGAAGUCCUCAAGCAGACCUAUUCCUCCGUUGAUGGAAAGGGCAAGGCGCCAGCUGUUAUAGAUGAAGGCAUUCGUCCAUUGGAUGGUCAGUUUUGCAAAGUUGCCUCUUAUUCCACCAAUGAUGACUCUGCCACACAUGACUCUGCCAAUGCACCCAAGUCUACUCCUCAAGCCACUGCUCCUCGUGUGAUGACUGAUCGUGAGCUUCUGCUUAGUCUUCACCAGAAGGUGGAUCGAAAUCAUAAAUGGGUUAAGCGUCAGUUUGGUUCAUUUCUUCACAACAUGACUGCUACACACAAUGCAGUGAAGAAAAAUCAUUACUACCUCCAUGAAGUCUUCGGUCGCACCUGGUCCAUUCUGUCACAUCUGUAUGGUGAAGACGAUGUGAAGAAAAUGGGUCUCAAGGAAGAUUUUGACUGGUCUGCACCUCCACCGAAGAAAUUUAAGAAGGUCAAGGCUCCUUCCUUGGUGGCCAGCUCAUAUUCUUCAUCGCGUGACACUGAUGAAAAUGAAGACUUGGACGACACUGCGGCAGGCCCUACUACAACAAAUGACCCCAACAACGCUGGCGCUCCUUCAUCAACUUGAUAUUCUUCAGGGGCGUUUAGUCCUCAUAUUCGAUCCUUUUGUUCAUUUGAUGACAAAGGGGAAGAAUUUUGAGUUAGUCUUCAAGCGGGUCUUUCUAUAUGGGCGUUUUUUUUGUUAAGUUACAACUAUCGUUCUUCUAAGACUUUAUUGGAUCAAAUUUUAAACUUAAACCCGAUGGUGCUCUGAUACUUUUGAUAUGUUUUUCUGCAUGCUUAUUCCUCAUAUAUGCUAAUGCACGCAUGCUGAAUUACAUCAGUCACCAUAUUUAACCUUGCAUUUCAAAUUCUUCAUUGUGAUAUGUCAAAUGCGUGUAUGAAUUACAAGAUAUAGGGGGAGAUCUCCAUGAUUCAAAUUCUUCAAGUGUGCAUUGCUUCAAAGGCAAAUUCCUCACUAUGCACAUCUUCAGGGGGAGUUCUUCUAUAUCUUGCAAUCAAAUUCCUCAAUAUCGGUAUUUACACUUCAUAUGUUUAUCCCCGUUGAAAACUUAACCUAUAUUGUCAUCAAUCACCAAAAAUGGGGAGAUUGUAAGUGUAUCUAGUGCCCCUUAGUGAUUUUGGUGUAUUGAAGACUUAUAAGUUAAGAGACUAAUGCGUUUAUGAGUGUACACAGGUCUAUAAGUCUAUGAGGAGUUUGCUAUUUACAGAGAAAGUCGACCCCUAAAAAUGAAGUUCUUCGACUAAAGACUUUGGAUUUCUGAAGACUUUCUGAAGACUUUGAAAGUGAAGAAAUUGGUGUGACCUUGAAGACUUGGUAUUCAUUCGAGGAACAUGAAGCGUGAAGACUUUUGUUUUCGUAGUUUCAUUUUCUCUUUCUUGAGUCAUAGGAAACACCGCACUGUUAAAGGGGGUCGAGGAAAUACUAAGGAAAAAUUUCCAUGUGAUGCUCAACUCAAAAUCCUACACCUACCAAUCCCUCCAAGUGAAGCCAUUGGAAAUCUCAUACAGUCCAGUCAUAUUCUUCAGCGACAGAGACGAAGUUCUUCUGGUCUUUGAGGAAUUUGUUCUGACUGAGGAGUUAGGAAUUUGCUAGUGUGGAUUUCCUACACAGUGAGGAACAUGAUAGCCCUGAGGAUUUUUCUACUCAAAAUUUUGACCGUUGCUGUGCUAUGCGCCAGCUGUCCCAAAAUAUCUAUCCAUCUAACGGUCAUAUCAUUGAAGGGCAUUUAUGUCUUAUCAUGUCGGGCUGCUCCCUAGGCUAUAAAUAGCCGCCCCCAAUAACCACUAGCUGGUUGGCUGCUCCGAGAGUAACUAACACUUGUCAUUUGAGAGCAACCCAUCCUCUGAGGACUUUGAGCGAAAAUCAUCAAGUGAGGAAAAACCCAAACCCAAACACCUACAAACCCCAAGUGAUUGAGCAUCACUGAAGAGAUUGAUCAUGUGUGGAUCCGACCCUUGUUAUCUUUGAAGACUGUGCUUCUUCCAGACGGUUAGGCGUCAUGGUCUAGAGCAUCCAAGAGGAAUUGUGGAUCGCCGAGUGACCAAGUUUGUGAAGGUUCGGAAGUCACAUGAAGACUUACCACGAGUGAUUGGACGAGGUCUGUGUGACCUUAGUUCAAGGAGAAUACGGUGAGGACUGGGUGUCCUGAGCUGCGUGUUCAGGAAUGGGUGUCCGGGACUGUGUGUCCUCGAGUUUAAAUACUUAGCCGCUCCAACUAGACGUACAACUGAGACAGCAGUUGGAACUGGUCUACCAAAUCAUUGUCUUCACCAAGCUUACUGGUUCUAUUUCCUCAACUCUUUCAUUUCCUCAUAACUGUGUUGUGUGCUUGUUCAUAUCUGUGUUUGAAGACUUUGACUGAAGACUUUCUUAAUUUCCUCAGUUCAAUUUCUUCAGUCUGUUCGUCUUCAUCCUGUGCUUACACUACCUGUACUCUGUGCCUGUCUUCAUUUCAUCAUGGUGACCAUGCUUGUGUUCUGUUAUGUUUACUUUUGAGUACUUAUUCCGCUACUAGUAGUUCUUCGCUAAGGAAUUUCCUCACCGGCAAAUUCCUCAGUGAAGAAUUUCAUAAAAAUCGCCUAUUCACCCCCCCCCCUCUAGUCGAUAUAACGCACUUUCAGUUUCGUAAUGCAUCAUCCUGCAAAAAACUCAUUAGUCACAUUGCUUGCAAGGCUUAUUAUGAUGCGCAUUACCGAGAGGUCCCAGAGAUACCUCUCUGAUACUCGGAGUGACAAAUCCUAAUCUCGAUCUAUGCCAACCCAACAAACACCUUCGGAGAUACCUGUAGAUCAUCUUUAUAAUCACCCAGUUACGUUGUGUCGUUUGAUAGCACACAAGGUAUUCCUCCGGUAUCCGGGAGUUGCAUAAUCUCAAAGUCGAAGGAAUAUGUAUUUGACAUGAAGAAAGCAAUAGCAAUAAAACUGAACGAUCAACAUGCUAAGCUAACUGAUGGGUCUUGUCCAUCACAUCAUUCUCCUAAUGAUGUGAUCCCGUUCAUCAAAUGACAACACAUGUCCAUGGUUAGGAAACUUAACCAUCUUUGAUUAAUGAGCUAGUCUAGUAGAUACUUACUAGGGACAGGGUGUUUUGUCUAAUCCAACAUCGGUAAUCGCACCAAACAAGUGACAGUUAAGUGGACCAUCAUAUGUCUCGUGCCAUUUGCCAACCAAUGUACAUUAACUUGUGCAACCUGCAUUGCAUCCCUUGUCUUGUGGUGGUCGACGAAAGCCACACGUGCUACAGGAAACUAUGUUUCCUCGCCAUUUCCUCGGUGACUAGGGCAAACUCUCUUUUCUAGGCUUCACUAGUGAGUCUGUGGAUUCACCACCCCUGCAUCUUGCACAAGUCAUUACUUAUAGUUUGUUGCCAUGUGUUUGGUCCCUCUCUAUCUUUUUGCAUCACAUUCAUUUUAUGUGGUCCUGCUUUUGAUGUUUGUUUUGUCCAGCAGCAUUGUCGAUCGGCGUGAUAUUUAACUCCGGGGUCAAUUUUGUGUGCAUGUGGCAAGCAUUAUGGUGCGGGAAAAUGCGGAAAAUGAACAUGGUAGGGAGCCAUGGAGACCGAGUGUUGGUGUUUGAUGUGACGAGAAGGGAAGAGAGGUGUGCAUAGUACUUCUACUCCACAUGUGAUGCAUCAUCACGACCGCAUCUACAUGAUCCCUCCGUUCAGAAACAGAUGUCGCGGGGCAUUCUGCAAAAUGGUCGCUCGCAAUUUCCUGACACAACCCGCAGAAGAUCCACCCCUGCUUCGAUCUGUCCCGAUCCGUGCUGGUGCCGGUCCUUGGCGGCGGCUUCGGCGUCCCCUAUGGCCGGCCAGGCGGAUCUGGCAUGCGGGUGAGGUUCCGGGGGAAACCCCUGGCUGGCGCGGCAGCCUCCCCAAAGUCGACGCCUUUGGCGCCGAUUCCCUUCCUGAAGGCUUUGGGGUGGAUCCUCUCCCUUCCGCCUCCUCCUCGAGCUAUGGCGAAAGCUUUUGUUCCCCUGGUCUGGGCGUCGACGGCACCCUGGUGUCGUGCUCCUUCUUGAAGGCGGCGGCUAGGAACAACUCUUGGUGGCGGGGCUGCUGGUGGCGUGGUGGCGGUGCGCUUCGGCCUUCUACUUGGUGCCACGUCUUGCUUCGCGGGACCAGCGGACGGUUUCUUUGGUGGAGCGGUGCUUCAUCCAUACAUUGAUGGCGACGGAUCUUGACGGCGUGGCGCAGUGCAGAUUCGGAGUUCGAUGUGGGAGGAUGGACUCGCGCAGGAGGACGACGCUGUCUGGCGUCGUGGUGACGUCGAUGGCAGAGAGAUUUGGCAUGGUAGAUGCAACAAUACAGCUCUAAAGAUGGACUCGUGGCAGGUGGCUGUGGCGGCCUCAUACCCGGCAGGCGUCCUGGUUGAGAAGUGCGUCAGACUGGUAGGUGCCCCAUACCAGGCAGGCGUCCUGGUUGGGACCUCAGGUCUUAGAUGUUUAGGUUUGGCUGCGAUGUCUGUUUGGUAUUAGGUCCAGCCUAUCAACGCCCCUACAUCAUUUGGAUAGGUGUAGCGACAGUUGUUGCUUAGACGGUGGCUUUAGUCUUGCUGUUGUAUUACUUUGUAAGGUCUUGUGAGUAUAAUUAAUAAAGUGGCCUAUGCAUCGCCCAGAUGCAGAGGCCGGGGGUCAUCCUCCUUUUAAAAAAAAAAGUUUUAUAGCCUGUGCUGCUGCUGCUGAUUGCGUGAUCGGCUGCCUGCAAGUACAUACCUAAACUUAUCACUCGCCUUCAAUGUCAUGCGAUGGACCAUGCACAGCACGGGGAAGCCACCGCGCAACUACCCACUCGUGAUAAUCCACCAUGGACGGUAGGCCCAUCAUGGGUGGAAUGCACCCGGUCGUGGAUGUUGCUUCGAGUUAAGCCAAAGUAUAGCAUGCGCUCCCAUAUCAGUGCAUUUCACUUUGCAAACUUAUACAUCUUAGUACUAUACUAGUAGUACUAUUUGCUGAUUUCCGUUAAGAUCCUGCACAAACUCCGGUCAGUUGACAUGAAUAUACUAAGGUGGUGGUGAUAAUCCACCAUGGACGGUAGGCCCAUCAUGGGUACACGGAGUCCCAAUUACUCUUUCGGUCCGAAAUUACUUCUCGAAAAUGUAUCUGCAUUCAUAUGCUAUGCGUGAGGAUGAACGACGCAGAACUGCAGAUGUACGACAUCGUGGCCGAGAACUAUAUUCUCGGCUCUGUUCCUCCUUCCAGGUCAUGAAGGCCAGCUCAGCUCAGGAUACUUACUAUCACACAAUUAACCUUAGCGUUGAACGUAUAUAUAUAUCAUAUAUCACGUGCUCCUAGUCAAAAGGGUCCCAGGGUCCCAACUUGUUACAUUCUUGUCCGUGGAACCAACCGCAUCUCAUCUCAGACAGCAAUGCUAAAAAAAGGAGUGAAACUGAUAUAUUUUUAAAGAUUCUGAAAAAAAAUGAGAAUGUUCACAAGGAAUGUCACUACAACCCCUUAAAAUUUCAGGUCCAAAGUUGAAAUGUACAUUGAGAAACAAAAAAGGGAAAUCCAUUGUAAACAUUCAUUGGUGAAAGUGGAGGCAGCAGGGAUAAUAUAUACUCCCUCUGUUCCAAAAUAGUUGUCGUUGGGGAACUUCUCCGACCAGGUGAAAACAGGAAAAAGUACUAAACUACCCUCAAUUUAAAAUUCUUGUCGCCGGGGAUCUUCAUCUUCCUCCAUCGCUCCUCCCCGCCUCCGCCAGGCUCCACCCCACUGCUGCAGCUCCGGCGUCCGCCCGCGCCGGCCGCAGCUCCCUCGCCGGCCGCCUUCCUCCGCUCCAAUUGAGAGCCCAAACUCAUACGCAACUCCCUCGCC